UAGAAAACAGGUAUGACAUCCCUUCCAAAUCUCUUCUUGCAUUCAAGUAUCUUAGUGAGUUCAUUCAAGCACCAAGUGGAAGAUGCAUAGUCUUGGGAGAAAACGAUGACAUAAAUCUUUGAUUCUUCUAUUGCAGAGAGGAGAGCAGGUGAAAUUUCUUCGCCCCUGUUUAAUCUGUAAUCAAUAUACGCUUCAAUGUUCUUCCUCUGCAGCGCUGCAUAAAGGUGACUAAUGAAGUUGUCACGUGUGUCUUCCCCUCUGAAGCUGAGAAACACAUCAUGCUUUGUUAGAGAAGUAGACACGGGGAAUGAUGAAGAACUUCCUGACAUUGGAAUCAAUUUUCUCUCCUUUCUCUGCAAAUCUCAGAUUCCUUUGUUUGUACCAUUUCUACCUGAAGAAGUGUUUAAAUUUUCUCAAAAUACCUUGCACAGCGUGUUCUGGUCAGACAUAAAGAAAAAGACAAAUAUUAAGUUAAUAGAAUAGUCAACAAUUUAAAAAAUAAGUAUGAAAUAUAGAUAUAUAUCAUUAUCACGUGUGGAAGCUACGUCGUCUUGUAUUGGAUUUUCUAAUCUGCCUUUUAUCUUGUCUCAUUCUUCUUUAUCUUUUUUCUCUCAUCUCUCUUGCUUACGAUUUCUUUGCCUUUAUUCAGAAAUUUUAUUUAUAAUAAACCUUCAAUAAUAUUUGUACUUUCUAGCAUAUAGAAUACUUAAUGGAUCCUUUUCUGAUUUUUCUUUUCUAAAGUGCAAUUGAUAUUUUAAAUGUUUUUCUAUUUAAUUUUCCUUUCUUAAUGACACAUAAAAUGGUUCAGUGCACAAUUAAUUACUCUCACCUUAGAUUUCAUUCAUCUCAUUCCAUUUCCACACUCAAAUCAUUCUCACAUUUGUUUCUACCUGUUUCACAAAGUUUUAGUUAAAAUAUGGAAAUUAAUGUUCAAGAACCCUACUUAAUAUUAAUAUUCAACAAUUUAAAAUAUUAAAAUGCAAAUUAAUCUUUCUUAAUAAUGUCAUUUUUAUGUAAAAAAUAAAAUGUAGUUUAGUCAUUUAUACUUAGAUGGAUAAAGAUGGUUUUAGAAAAAAAAAUGCAUUUUAUUUCAAAGGUUAUCUAAGCUCUGAACUCAUUUAUGAAUUAAUAAUAAUAAAUAAUAUGUAAUUGUAUUCCAAUACCAUAUAAUUUUUUUUAUUGGGUGCGUUUCUGAUGAAUUAAUUAAUGCACUCUAGGGACAAUGAUCGCUCUAGUAUUUGAUUUUUUUAUUUAUUUUAAUGUUGAAAUUAUAGCUAUUUAGUACAGAUACUAUUGACACCGACACAGAUACGACACAGACACAGAGAUACUUAAAAUCUCUAAAAUGUAAGAUACAGAGACAUUAAUCUAUAUAUUAUAUAAUUAUGAAUUAUAUAAAUUAACAAUAAAGACUUAUGUGCACAAGUAUUUUGGAGAUUAUUUUUUAAGCAGAAAUAUGUUUUUCAUGACUGUUUCACAAAGAUUUGUUUCUUAUUUUUAUAAUCAUAAUAACAAUUUAUACCAUAAAGUUUGAAUUUUAGAAAAUUAAUGUAUUUUUUCUUUUUAAAAUUCCGUUAGAAUCGUACUAAAAUUGUAAAAAAUCUAACAAAUACAUUUUGAAUUGGACAUUUCACAAAUACAUGUCCUACCAGUAUCAUACGAAUGUAAACAAAAUUCUUUCUUCAUAUGCCGCAUUCUUUUACUGUGAUAACUCAUUUCAACUCUCUCACAACUGAUUCGUAAUCUGUGGGAUGCAUUAAAGCCUUUUGCAGUUAAAUCAAUAGUAUAUGAUGAUGUGAAUGUUAUUUAUAUACUAAAUAUAAUCACAUAGUAACUUCAAAUUUGAUAAGGUACAACAUGUUACCAUAUCUCUUUUAAUUUCUUUUAUUUCAUUAUAUAUUUAGGUGUAUUUAAUUUCUUUUUAUUUCAUUGUGUAUUUAGGUGUAUUACGUAAAAUAUAUAAUUAAAAAGAAAGAAGAAUAAUGUUAUUUUUAAAUUUAAAGAAUGACAUAUAGAAAUAAACAAGCUAUUUUGAAAUUUUUAGAUUUUACAAAACAUUACAUUUUGAUUUUAAUAUUUAUAAAAUAUUUUUUAAUUUCAUAUUUAAAACACAACACUUAGUUGAGUGUGUUCCUUAGUUACUUACCAAAUAACAACAUACAUCUUAUCGGGUCUUUUUGCGACCCGACCCAAACUCAUCUCGAUCCUAGUAGGGUUCGCAUCAUCUUCAAUUGAGGAGUAGAUUUGUCAGGAGGAAAAUAAAUUGAUUUAUAAGAACAUGUGAAGUUGUUUAGAUUGAGGAAUAAUAGAUGGAUUUUGAUUAUGAUUUAUGGUAAGUUUAAAAAAAAUAGAUUUGUUUCUUUUAACAUUUUUUGUAUUAUAAUUAUUUGCUGGCUGAAUUGUUUUGAGUUAACAUGUUUUCUUGGGGUAUGAUAUUGUGAGGUUUUAUUACAUGCAGGUACGUGAAUAUUUUUUUUAUUCUAGUUGUAUAAAUCAGGAAAAAAUGUUUUUCACAAUAUAAUUAUAAUAACCGUUUAACAACCUAAAUAAUAAUAAAAUAUUAACUCAUAUUAUUUAAUUAAAUUAUUAAAUAAAAAGUAGUAAAACUGAUUGUAGGAUGGGAAUAUGAUUAUUUUUAACUGCUAGCUCCUCAUUAUUCUUUUAUAAUAAAAAACACACUAGUAGGUGUUGAAAAUCGUAAUAUAACAAACAAGUUUUGACACACGUAGGUUUGGCAAUUGUUUUAAUAGCUGAAAAUAGUAAAACAAUUUUUAAUUACCACAAACUGCAUCUUAAAUCAUAAAAAAUAGCAUUUUUUAGUUCAUAUAUAAUAACAUUUCCAUAAAUAAAUCUCCCGCCGCCAUUGAUAUUAAUCAUUAAUAAUUUUAGAUAAUAUUUUUUACUAUAAAACAUUUAAUUGAGAUUGAAUUUUUAAUUCACACUUUUUGGUCAAAGAAUAAUAUAUUUCAUUUUUUUAUUUAUUAAAUAUUUUGUAUAAUGCUGAGAAAAAAAAAUCUCACACACACACACACAUAUAUAUAUAUAUGAUCCCUAUGUCCUACAAGUACAAUAUAACAUCGUUAGUAUAAUGAAUAAAAAUAAUGAGUAUUCAAAGUCGUGUAUUUACGUAAAAGAAUAACAUGAUUUUUAAAAGAACUCACAUUAUCAGUUUAAAUUUUGACGAUAAAAUACAUUAAUUAUAUAUAUUUAUUCAAAAUUUCAAUUAUAUUAUGCAUUAAUGGUUUUAUGCUUUUAGAGGAAUCAGAGAAACUUAGAAAAGCUUAAUGAAACCCUAUGAAUAAAGGAGAUGUAAAAGAAAGAGAAAAAGGAAGUGAGAAAAGAUGAUAAUUAAUAAACACCCACUCUUCAUAACAUAGAGUCUUUAAACCUAUAUUCCCUCAAACAGCAUUUAUAAGUUAUUAUCACCCACAUGGAAUAAGGUGCCUCAAUGUGAACAAACCAAGAUCAGUAAGAAAUAUGAGGUUCAAAUAACGAAGCUGAGAAUUUUCUGGUUUUACAGCUCCAUGCACAAACCUAAUACAAUGAUAUGAUAUUCCAUAGGAUGGAGAAAAGUAUGAUAUGAAGAGGAUUUACCAAUUACCCUUUCGAAUGCAGCUCCUCAGGAUUCCAUCAUGCCUUCACUGCACAUGCAACCCAAAUAUGCUAAAGAAGUUAAUCAAACCCAAAUAUAAAGAAUUUCUAGAGAAUGCAACUCUGGGACAACAGAGUACCCCAUCUCAAGCUGAACAGAAACAUUAAACUAUAUCUAACAAUAACUUAGAAAUCUUUGUCAACAAUGAACGAAUCCAACCGUAAAAUGCCAUUGAAAAUGUAAAUAAAACAAAAUAAAUUAGAUAUGAGAAAUUCAUGAUAAAAUUUCAACACUUGUAAUGUAGAAGCAUUACGAUAAGCCAGUUUUGAUCCUCACCAAUGAAAGUCUAAUUAGCAGAAGAGGAAGAGACUAGUUGACUGGGUAGCUUUCUGCAAUGCCUAUUUUAAGGUUACGCUUCCGGCAAAAAUAUAAUAGAAGACUGCUCUCAUGUCAAAGUUUCUCAUACAUAGAACAACCCGCAAAAGAGAUUAAACAUUCCAAAAGAUGUCUCAACAGAAAUGAAAUGAGAUCCUAACAACUUGUUGGGAAAGUACUAUUUUGCCUUCAAUUCCAUUACUUCCUUUUGCCUUUAAGAGUGCAGUCAUAAUCAUCAAAAUACUUAGACUUUGUGAUAUGUCUUUUGGGCUUGCUAUUCAUCUUUUGUUGCCUCCUCUUGAGCCAUAACACUUUUGGCCUUCCUCUUCCUAUAUUCCCUUGUGUCUCUUGAAGACUGUGCAACAUUACUUCGACUGGAUUAUUCAAUGUGAACAGCACCACCAUAUUCAUCAUCUUUCUUUUUGGAAUAAAGAGGGCAUAUGCCGCAUUCUUUUACUCUGAUAUCGGGCCACCAAUGGCUGAUCUCAAAAGUGAAGCUGCGAGCAUCACAGAGCCUAAGGCUCAUGCCGCUUGCCCUUAGGGACUCCAAGUUAAAUUUCCACACAAAUGUGUGAUCUUUAUCAAGAAAUCUGCCUGCAUCCGUCAAGUUUAACACAUCAUUAUUUGGAAUGAUCUGUGUGCCAUCAUCAUCAGAUUCAAAUUUUAGGCUGUAACCAAAAGAACUAUAUCUACCUUUAAUAUCAUUCGUAUCUAACACUUCAAAAACCACGCACAAAGAGAAACCAGUGAGCCUAUUAUCGCUGCAAAAACUUAAAUCUUCAUUUAUAGUCACUGAAUGUCCCUUCCCACGAAAAUGGAACCAACCAGGAACUGCACUCCCUGGAUAACAGAAGAACACAGACCUAUAUGCAUCGUCGGUCAUCCUAAGCCUUGCAUCCUUCUCAAUGUUAGCACGACCACCUGAAUCCAGUUGUUGAGCAUUGGUGAAAUGAAAUUUGAAUACACCCUCUUUGGAAUUUGAGAGGUUCCGAACAAGAGAAUUUGACAUCACUUUUCUAAUGGAUGGGCAAUCCAAUGCCACGAGUUGUUUUAGAAAUGGUGGAAUCGGUGGGAUGCAUUCAAGCUUUUUGCAGUCGCUUAAAUCAAGCGAUUUCAAGCUCGAAAGAUGAGCAAUGCUCUCAGGAAGGUUCACGAUUCCGCUAUCACGCAGUGACAGUUCCAUUAAUGACGUCAAACGACCAAUGUGCCUUGGGAUUUCUGUUAAUUUGGCACACCCCGAACAAUCAAGUUUAGAGAGAAGCUUCAGAUUAACAAUGCAGUUUGGAAGUGACUCGAGAUCAGUGCAUUUGCGGAGCUCCAGGGAACGAAGAUUAACGAAAUUGGCAAAUGAGGAAGGCAGUUCUUUAACAGUCGUAGAUGUUAAGUUAAUGUGAGCAAAAGUAUGAGCCGACUCCGUGAUCUCUGGGAAGGUCCUCAGCCUUGAGCAACCACGCAAAUCAAGGUUCCUCAACUUCAAAUUGAAAAUGGUGCUUGGAAAAGUUUGAAGUGAAUUACAGUGGGCAAGGUCUAACUUGCAUAGUCUGGUGAGGCUUCCAAUGGAAGAUGGAAUAAUCUCAAGAUUGAAGCAACUGUGCAAACUCAGUUGUUGAAGCCCUACCAAACGGCACAAGGAUGAAGGUAGUGCCUGUAUGGCUGUGUCGUCUAAGAUGAGCACCGCUAGAUCUUCCAACGUGUCCUGAAUCUCGGGUAAAUUUUCCAGUUUUGAGCAACCACUGAGACAAAGUUGCUUUAGGAAUUUCAUAUCAGAAAGGUCAAACGGAAAGAUUGUAAGGGAAGAACAGUCAGAGAGAUCUAAGUAACAGAGGUUCUUGAGACUUUGAAAGUUUAAGGGCACACCUUCCAAGAGACUGUUGAACACCUCUGAGUCUUCUGAGUCUGUAGCAUUAUUAGCCACUUCUAUAUUAUAUCUGUCAAAAGUAAUUGACAAAAUUUCACUGCUUGGGGAAAUUUCACUGGAAGUUGGGAAAUUUAUCUCUUUCGUCAUAUCCAGUUCCUGACGCUCCAGUAUGACAUGAGGGAGAAAUUUAUCUUCAUGUUUACUGAUUGAAAACAUAUUAAGCUUCCGACAAUGGGAAAGAGUAAUCCAUCCUGGUGAUGUGGAUAAAAUGUUGCUCGGAAUAUUUACACUAUUCAGAUCAUCACAAUGAUCUAAACAUAAACAACUGAGUUUGCUGAGGAAUAUCGAAGAGUGAAUUUCAAUCAACUUUUUACAAUAACUCAGAAUUAUUUUUUCAAUAUUUGGUGACAUAGAAAGGUCUGGUAUUCUAGCAAGUUUCCAAGAACGUGUCAGGUCGAGCCUUUUCAAGUUGGGUAAAUUCUGCCACAAAAAGUAAAUGAAUCAGGUAACAAAUAAUAACUACUUUAUCUAUUUUUCUUCCUAUUUAAACUAUUAGCUACUACUAUUGAGUUUAUAUUUUACAUUACUUAAAAACCACUGUUAAAAAAGCCACACUGUGGACUAACAAAAUUAUAUUUUAAAAUAUUAUUAAAGAUAAAAUAUGAAGAUAGGGUAAUUAAAUUAAAUAUAAUUUUUAUUUUUCAGAAAUGAUGAAAAUUAUAAUUAAAUUAACUAAAUUAUAUAAAAUUCCAUUUUAUUUACAUAACUCCUUUUCAUAUUAAAAAACUAUAUAAGAUCUUGAAACUAUAAUUAAUAUCUUAAAAAUUUAAAUAAUAAUAAUUAUUUCUACUCAUCCUUAAUUUUUGUUGGUGAAAUCUUGAUUUUUGGGAUAAUAUCACUUAAACUUAAGAAAUAUUUGACAUUAAUGAACUCUAAACAAAUUUAUAUAAGAAAUCAAGACAUCACUUUCAAUCCGAAAUCUUAAACUAAUAGGUUUAUGGAUUUUCUUUAUAUGUUGUUCAUCUUACCAAUUUGAACCCAAUGCGAGACUUUCAACUCUAAGAGAUGAAGUGGUGUACUUUAUGCUUCUAGGACUUGUUAGAUAUUGAAACAUGUACCAUUGCUAAAAUGUUUGAAUGAAGGAGAAGUCAAAGUCUCUCUCCUUUAGAGAUAUUCGCUCAAGUGGCAAGAGGUUGAUUAAGCAAGAGAGAGAUCGUAUUAAUUCUCUCUUCUAUGCAAUUGUUGUCGUUCAAACAAUGUGGAAUCAUUCAAGCAAAGAAAUCUUCUUUUGGGUUAGGAAACAAGGUUUUUCAAGCGAGAUAAACUCGUCUAAAGAAUUUAACUCUAGUAGUGAAAUGUUGUUGCCAUGAUUUAGCCAAGUGUUUGUAUCUAUGAGGCUAAUGAUGAUGAUGACGAUGAUAAGAUGCAUGAAUGUGUAUACACAAGUGUAUGAUAUACCUCAUGUUAUAUAUUGUAUGUGAUUCAAUUGAUGACCAUUUAUUUUUAGGCCAUUUAUAUGUAUAUUUUGGCCCUUUUAUGAGUAUGUGACGAGAUAUACCUAAGAUUGUAUUAUGAUCCUAAUGAGUCGAAGUAUCAAACACAAAACUCAUUAUGGAAAAAAAAAGAUAUUUUGUGCAUCAGUUAUGAUAUGAUCACAACAAUUAAAGCAUGUGUGAACGGUUAAUAUUGUUCUUAAUAAGAAAACAAAUAAUAUUGUAUGUGACAUUAGAGAUGUCAAAUAGGUUUAGAAAAUUAUUAAGUUUAAUUAUCUUUUUAGUCUUUAUAUUAAUGACCAAAAGUCAAUUCAGAUUUUUAGAAAGUUCAAUAUGAUUUAAUUUUUUAAAAAACAAUUCAAUGUGAUUCCUUCUAGUAUAUUUCCCUUAUUAAAAUAUUUUUAUCUUAAUGAUUCUGCCACUGUUAAGUUAUAUGUGUUGUUAUCACAUUGAAUUGUUUUAAAAAAAUUUGGAACCACCACAUUAAAUUGUUUUAAAAAGUUAGUACUAAAUUGAACUUUUGAAAAUUGGGAGAAUGAAAUUAAAUUUUGUCUAUUAAUACAGGGACAAAAAAUAAUUGAAUCAAAUAUUUUACUAUUUUUGUGAUGUAUAUUUAUAUAUAAAUAAUUUUGAGAAUUUAGAGUUACAAUGUGUUAUAUCAUAUAUAUAUAAUUCUUUUUGGUAAUGUAUCCUGUAGUUGUAAGCAAGUAUGAUUAUAUUAAGUGGGGCGUUUCAAAUAGUGGAGACUACGCAUAUACAAAUAUCUCUUAUAAAGUAAGAAAACAAAACAAUCGUUACUCAAGAAGAUCAUGCAAUGCAUCACAGACAACAUGGGAGAUAUAUAUCAACAAUAAUAUGAGUAAAUAAUACAUUCAUGGGCCAUUAGACGAUAUGCCUAAAAAAAAUAUGCAAACUAUUAAAUUUAUAAUUAUUUUUAAUUAGAAACAUGCUGAGUAUGACUCUUAUGAUAUAUGUAUAACUGUGUGCUUCAAAUAAAAGAAAUUUCAAAUCGAAUAAUGUGGAGAAGGCACAAAGGAAUUGCAAAUGAAAACCUGUAGAUGUAUAAUACACAAAACAUGCUUGUCUAAUUUAUUUUUAUCUUUGAAAGUUUAGAACACAAAGGAACAUAGAUAACUUGAAAAACCUGAUCUCCUUCCCAGAGUUGUUCAAGAUCGCAGUAUGGCAUUUCGAGGAUCACUAGAUUUUGUGGGCAAAAGUUUGGAGGCCAGAAUCUUUGAAGGAAACCGUUCCAAUAAAGAAACUUUAGAGUGUCCGGCAGACCUACAAGAGAUGAUUCAAGAGACACUUUUGAAUUCAAUCUAGGCAUGUAGACCAUAAGCAUCAUAAGAUUGUCCAUCUUUUCGAAACUUUGUGCAUGUACUACAGCAUCUUUUACUUUGUUCGUAUGAUAUUGAUAUACACUGUAUUGCAUCUGACCCCUGAAAGUAAAUCAAUGUAAUUAGAAAAAAAAACAUGAAAUGUUGCAUUUCAGGAUGCUUAAUGACAGCUCAGUAGUUUUCUAUUUUUCACAAAGUAACAACAGCAUAUACCUUGUUCUUUCUUAAAACCUCACAAAUUUCCUCAUCAUUAAACAAUCGGCUGCGUUUUCCAGGAUGCUGAGGACACUCUUUACGAACAAUUUCUUUACCCAUUUCUUGUAUUAGAUCGUGCAUCACAAUUCUACCAUCAAAGACAGAGAUUAGACCCCUAUCUUUGAGAAUAUCCAUUCCAAUCUUAGAAGAGAAACCACAGUCAUCAAGUGUUUCUGCUACCACAGUCUCCUCUUGCCCUCUAUAAAAGCAAGCUAUGUCAAGAAAUAUAUUCUUCUCCUCCUCCUUGAGCCCAUAAUAACUUAAUUUUAAUACGUCGAAAGUUCCAAGAUCUUGGCCGUUUUCCAACUUUUGCAACUGACUCUCCCAUGCUUCUCUUGUUCUGCCAUAAAGCAAUGACCCCAAAAUCUGGAGAGCUAACGGAAUUCCUUUUGCAUAUCUCAACACCUUUACUGACAGGUCCAUGUAAGCAAUUCCUUCUGAAGAUUUUUGUUUAAAAGCAUGUAAACUAAAAAGUUUCAGAGAAUCAUAAAAAUUCAACUCCUUAACUUCGUAGAUAUCAUCAGCUCCAGCAUUCUUAAGCACUUGUCUGUCUCUACUGGUCAUAAUGAUUCUACUGCCCUGCCCAAAACUAUCACUCCCACCUAUUAAUUUUUGAAGUUGAGUUGAAUCGGUAACAUCAUCAAGAAUGAGGAGAACCUUUGUCCGUUUGAGCCUUUCAUUGUAAUAUGGUAAAUAAGAGGAUUUCUCUUCCUUUAGAAGCUCAGACUGAUAUUUUGUUCUGAUACCGUCUAUUCCAUCUCUUUGUAUUUUUUCUUGAACGUCUAAAACAAGGCUGCUGGAAUCAAACUGCAAUGCCAAUUUCUGAUAUAUUUGAUCACAAAUUGUAGUUUUUCCUAUUCCUCCCAUGCCACAAAUUCCUAUGAUCCGAACAUCCGUUGACUCAAGAUGCAACAAGGACUGAAUUCCUUCAAUAUUUUUUUCAAUGCCGAUGAUUCCUUGAUCAUAACUGGCGGAAUAACGAUUCAAUUUUCUCAAAAUAUCUUCCACAAUUUCUUCAACAAGUGCGUGUUCUGGCCUGGCAGAUGAUUUAGAAAAUAAAGUAUAAGUAUUCAAGCACAAAAGCUAAAGUAAACUAAAGAAAAAUUUUACAGUAACCGUUUGUGACUUCUGAUACUAGGGAGCAUACUUGUAGGUACAAAGUUAAGCUAUUGUGUGAUAUGGUUCAGAUCUAUGACCGACUAAUAGAAAUGAAAAAAGAAGCACUUGAUUUAUGGUGAGAUGAACACAAUUUUAGUAAAUGAAAAGAGAUCCUGAUUAUCUAAUAAAUAUAAUGACCUGGUGACUUUUGAAUCCCAGCCUGCAAGUCCAGCAGCUUCGGUGAGAGCAUCCUUCCAUCCUUGCACUGUGUCGUGCUUAAAGUGCUGCUCAUGCUCAUUGAAUGCUUCUUUGUAUCUUUCUUCCUGCUUCCUAAUAGUUGAUGGAUCCACCUUGUAGAAAACAGGUAUCACAUCCCUUCCAUAUCUCUUCUUGCAAUCAAGUAUCUUAGUGAGUUCAUCCAAGCACCAUGUGGAAGAUGCAUAGUUUUUGGAGAAAACGAUGACAUAAAUCUUUGAUUCUUCUAUUGCAGAGAGGAGUACAGGUGAAAUUUCUUGGCCCCUGAGUAAUCUGUAAUCAAUAUAUGCUUGAAUGUUCUUCCUUUGCAGCGCUGCAUAAAGGUGACUAAUGAAGUUGUCACGUGUGUCUUCCCCUCUGAAGCUGAGAAACACAUCAUGCUUUGUUAAAGAAGCAGACAUGGCCAAUGAUGAAGGGUUUCAAUGUUCUCUGCAACUCUCAGAUCCCUUUGUUUGUAAGCAACUUCCAUAUAUUCUAUUAGGAAGGAAAAUAUAUAUUUCUACCAUUCCUACCACAAAUUGAAAAAGCCUUUCAAUUUUCUCAAAAUAUCUUUCACAGCUGUGUUCUGUCAGAUACGAAACAUUGAGUCAAUGGAAGAGUCAACAAUUGGCAGAAUAUUAUGGUGUGUAGCUUUAUACCAUUCUUACAAUAUUUGAUUGGUUGAAUAUAUACAAUAUGACUAAUGAACUUUUUUCUUUUCCGUAUUCCACGAUAAUUCCCUAGGCACCCUAUUAUACACUUUCUUAUCAACGGAAACCAUGUCUGUCCUUUUAUAGUUUUAAUCCUAUAAUAUCUUUCCAUUAAUCAUCAUUAUCACUCUUCAACCUUCAUAUCAAGUGUAUUGAUUUCAUACUUCAUCAGCUAGACAUAAUAAAAUCUCAAUAAUCUUUUAUACUGUCAACAUUUAUAAAAAAUAUUUCCUUCAAUAAUAUUUGUACUUUCUAGCAUAUAGAAUACUUAAUGGAUUCUUCUGUGAUUUUUCUUUCCUAAAGUACAAUUGAUAUUUUAACAGAUGCCGAAAGGUCUUGAAUAUGAGGCUGUUUCGAAAUGAAAAUUGGGGUAAAGCAUUUUCAAGUUAACAAGUUUUGUUGGGUGAGUGAGUGAUCAGUGCUAGCAUUUUCAAUCUCAGUUAUAGAAUGUAAAGAUUUACACAUUUAUUUGCUGAUUAAUAAUUUAUUUAUUGAAUUAAAUGUUUUAACAGUGAGUAUGGAUUCUUGAAUGAAUGUAAUCAUGGUGUAGAAUGUACAUAGUACAUAUAGUGAGUUGGAUUGAAAUGUUGAACACGUUUUCCUCUGCAAAGAUUCAGGAUAUUUAUGAACUUGCUAUAAAUUGUUUUAACUUUUCUCUGCAACUCUCAGUCCCUUUGUUUCUACCAUUUUGUUUUUGAAAAGCCUUUCAAUUUUCUCAAAAUAUCUUUCACUGCUGUGUUCUGUCAGAUACGAAACAUUGAGUCAAUGGAAGAGUCAACAAUUCGUAGAAUAUUAUAUUAUGGUGUCAAUAUUUAAUAAAUUUAUUUAUUUCUUUAACAUAUUUUAGAAAAUAACCAGUAAACAUAAAACUUUUAGUAUGACUAAAAGAAUAAAGAUAGUGUAAGAAUAACAGGAAUAACAUUACUACAAAUAACAAUAUAUUAAUAUUAAUAUGUUUCUUAAUAAAUUUUACACCCACUGUCUAUUUAUAAAUUAAUAUAUUAUAAACAUCUAUUGAUUUUUUGUGGGUAGCUUAUUUCUGUAACAUUUUAAAUUAAUUUUUUAGAUUUUACAAAACAUUACAUUUUGAUUAUAAUAUUUAGGACUGUGAUGCAAUUUCUGCAAUGAAGGCUGGCAGACUAAGUUUCUCCAAGCCCAAUUAAUACUGGGUUGAAAAUUCUGAGAAGAGGGUGAGUAUGAUGCUGCGGUCAUGAUCUAUGUAUUAAAGUGUUAAGGCAUGGGUUUGGUUGACAGGACAAUACUGGUUUUUCAUUGCUACUACUUAAUAUGAUUCUUUCUUACUGCUAUAUGAAUUUGCUGUCAAAUAGCAGUAAAUAAAAGACUUCAAAUAAAGCAUGUGUUUAUCAUACAUGGACUAAUGCAGCAGUUUUAGUAGAAGGGGCUAAUAUGAUUUUAAUCUAGAACAAGAUGGCUAAACCCAAAGAUGGUGGGAAUAAUAUCCUCAAAUCAAUUGUUUUGGUUUUCAGUGUAAUGUCAUUUGUAAGUAUCAAAAUUUGUUUGUUAUCACAUUGGAAGGUAGUAUCUGUCAUGAAAUUUGUGGAAGACCUUUACCUAUGUUUGCUUUGGGUCUGUUUUACGCCCUCUCGAAUUAAGUAAAUUUUUAAUUGCCAUCAUGAAAUUAGGCUAAAUAUGUGUAGUUUUGAGCACUUUCUUUCUUCCAUUUCAAUUCAUAGUUUCAUACAUAUUCAAUAUCAUGUGGGAAUUAAGUUCUUGCUUUUAAGGUGAAUAACAGUUUGUAUUCUUGCAGAAAACUAUUUUCUAAUGCAUAUAAAUUUCAUUUUCUAUUUUCAGCAUUGGAUUAUGUUAUGUAAUUUUUCCUUUGUAUUAUACAGAGUAGGAUUUUAAUGUUUCUACUGAACAGUGCUAUCUUUUUUCGUCCAUAUUCUGAUUUUGUUCAAUUUUUUUCAGUAUGUGCCACAUGCAGAUCAGAUGUAAGGAAUUUUCUAAAUUUUUUUUCAAGCUUUCUUGUUUGCUUAAAGUUUUCUGUAAGUAUUUAACUGUCUUAAGUUGUUAAUGAGGACUAAGGACUGAAAAAGAGAAUUAGCCAUGACAUGGUGGCAUUAUCCUUCUUCAAAACCAUUAGUUUUUUUUCCUACAAAGAUACAUGUCAAGAAAGCAAACCAGGAACAAAAGUGAUGUUUAUGAUUGCUUUCUCUCUUGUUUACUUGCUUUCUUUUUGUUGGACAAUUGUCUUAAUUGCAUUCACACCUAACCUGCAGUAGUUUCAGUCCCUUUGGGGUUGUCAUAAUUGCAGCCUCAAGAGUGGUGGUGUAGUCCAACAUCAACCAGUGAUAUAGUUCAAAUAUAGCAUAUACAUGAAAGUCGUGUUGAUAAUCAAAGGUUGCUUCAUCUUAACUAAUAACAUGUAAAUGUCAUUUGAAUGGUUAAAAAGGAAUUCACCAGUGUAACACAAAAUGAAUGGAUUGCUUGGUUAUGUGUCAACUGUUGUACUUUUUUUGAGUUGCUUGAAAAUAAUUAAAAUUUGUUUUCAUCUAGAUCUUGGUUUUUUCCUAUGAUCAAAUCUCGAUUUAUUUCUGUGCAGAACUUUCUUGUGGACAUAAAAGGACCAGCUAUAGCAUUUUUACCGGUGCUUGCAUUUGAAGGAGGAACUAGAAGAAAUAUACCUAGGUUUGAGGUGUGUAUAAAUUAUUUUUGAUGUAUUUCGUGAUGUAGAUGUAAAAUAAUGCAAUACUUUGUUUUUAGUUUCAAUGUUACUCUUUAUCUGCAGGUUGGAAACAUAUCUUGAUGAAAUAUAGAAACAUUUUUAUUCAUAAUAUAUAUAUAAGGAUUACACAUUCAUAAUUAUUUCUUUCUGUCGUAGCAUUGUCUACCUCAAAUCACUGCAACUUUCUGUUGUUGGUAUAAAAAUACAAUAUUUUAAUCCCAGUUUUGAUAGCCUCUAUUCUUCAGUGGUUGAGAUAUUUUUUAUAAGAAUUUAGAAGUUCUGAGAUAUUUAUGAUAAGAAUUUCAAGUUCUUUGUUACUAGCAGUUUAAUGGUUAUAUCAUUUUUGUUCUCUGGAAAAUAUCUUAUACAAAAUCGGUACUUAGAUUUGGUAUUUAUAUUGUUCAUAUGUAGAAAUCUAAUACUAGCAAAUUUUGUCUAAUUUAAAAGCAAUUACAUUCUACUCUUUGGAAUAUGUUCUGGCCUGCUUUUAUGAAUUAUUUGAAAAUUUGUAAUUAUAAAAUUUAGUCUUUGAAAUUAUAAAUUUAAUAGAGAAGCAUCCAUACUAAACUUUUAUAUUAUAAAUUGUCAGUUUUAUAUUGAAAACAUAUCCCCUUUAGUAUAAGACUUAAAGGAGAUGUCUUUUGGUAUAAAAACUGAAAUAAAAAAUAUUUUAACUAUAUGGGUCAAAUGGAUGAUUAAACUUAUAAAAUGUACAAUUAAACUUAUAAAUUAUAAUAAACGAUACUUUAAUUUUAAACUAUAUUGAACUUUUAUUAAUGUUCUCGCUUUUCUUUAAAAGCUAUUGAACUCUAUCUAACAAUAACUUAAAAAUGAGAAAUUCAUGAUAAAAUUUCAACACUUGUAAUCUAGAAGUAUUACGAUAAGCCAGAAGAGGAAGAGACUAGUUGACUGGGUAGCUUUCGGCGUUCCUCUUCCUAUCUUCCCCUGUUUCUCCUGAAGAGUGUGCAACAUUGCUUCCACUGAAUUCUUCAAUGUCAUUUUCUGAUGCAGAAUAGUCAACAGCACCACCAUAUUUAUCAUCUUUCUUUUUCGUAUAAAGAGGGCAUAUGCCGCAUUCUUUUAUUCUGAUACCUGAUUUCAACUCUCUCUCAACUGAUUCGUAAUCUGGCCGAUUUGGCCGCAGAAAGGGAUCAUACGGACUGAUCUCAAAAGUGAAGCUGCGAGCAUCACACAGCCUAAGGCUCAUGCCGCUCGCCAUUAGGGACUCCAAGUUAAAUUUCCACACGAAUGUCCCUUCACCAUCCCAUUUGAAAUAGCUAUUUAACACACCCUUAUAUGGAAUGAUCUGUGUGCCAUCAUCAUAUUCAAAUUUUAGGCUGUAACGAAAAGAACCAUAUCCACCUUUAAUAUCUAACACUCCAAAAGCUACACACAAAGCGAAACCAGUGAGCCUAUCAUCGCUGCAGAAACUUAAAUCUUCAUUUAUAGUCACUGAAUGUCCCUUCCCACGAAAAUUGAACCAACCAGGAACUGCACUCCCUGGAAAACAGAACAACACACACCUAUAUGUAUCGUCGAUCAUCCUAAGCCUUGCAUCCUCCUCGAUGUUAGCACGAGCACCUGAAUCCAGUUGUUGAGCAUUGGUGAAAUGAUAUUUGAAGACACCCUCUUUGGAAUUUGACAAGUUUGGAACAAGAGAAUUUGACAUCACUCUUCUAAUGGAUGGGCAAUCCAAUGCCUCGAGUUGUUCUAGAAAUGGUGGAAUCGGUGGAAUGCAUUCAAGCUUUUUGCAGUCGCUUAAAUCAAGUGAUUUCAGGCUUGAAAGAUGAGCAAUGCUCUCAGGAAGGUUCACGAUUCCGCUAUCACGCAGUGACAGUUCCAUUAAUGACGUCAAGCGACCGAUGUGUCUUGGGAUUUCUGUUAAUUUGGCACACCCCGAACAAUCAAGUUUAGAGAGAAGCUUCAUAUUAACAAUGGAGUUUGGAAGUGACUCGAGAUAAGUGCACUCUUGGAGUUCCAGGGAUCGAAGAUUAACCAAAUUGCCAAAUGAGGAAGGCAGUUCUUUAACAGCCGUACAUGUCAAGUCAAUAUGAGCAAAAGUAUGAGCCGGCUUCAUGAUCUCUGGGAAGGUCCUCAGCCUUGAGCAACCACCCAAAUCAAGCUUCCUCAAUUUCAAAUUGAAAAUGGUGCUUGGAAAAGUUUGAAGUGAAUUACAGUAGGUAAGGUGUAACUUGCAUAGUCUGGUGAGGCUUCCAAUGGAAGAUGGAAUAAUCUCAAGAUUCAAGCAACUGUGCGAACUCAGUUGUUGAAGCCCUACCAAACGGCACAAGGAUGAAAACUUAUUUUAUUUUUGCUGUUCAUGCAUAACAUUAACAAAUAUUGACAUGAGAGAUUGUGUUUGUAGGCUUCUAAGCUCACCAACGUGUCCCGUUCUUGAUGCUUUAGGGAAGAAAAUUUCCUUUGAGAUUGCAAAAGGACUCAGGAGAAUUUAGAAGUUCUGAGAUAUUUAUGAUAAGAAUUCAAGUUCUUUGUUACUAGCAGUUUAAUGGUUAUAUCAUUUUUGUUCUCUGGAAAAUAUCUGAUACAAAAUUGGUACUUAGAUUUGGUAUUUAUAUUGUUCAUAUGUAGAAAUCUAAUACUAUAGCAAAUUUUAUCUAAUUUAGAAGCAAUUAUAUUCUACUCUUUGGAAUAUGUUCUGGCCUGCUUUUAUGAUUGUAAUUAUAAAUUUAAUAGAGGAGAUUACCAAACAUCCAUACUAAUUAAACUUUUAUAUUAUAAAUUUUUUCAGUUUUAUAUUGAAAACAUAUCCCUUUAGUAUAAGACUUAAAGGAGAUGUCUUUUGGUAUAAAAACUGAAAUAAAAAAUCUUUUAACUAUAUGGGUCAAAUGGAUGAUUAAACUUAUAAAUGUACAAUUAAACUUAUAAAUUGUAAUAAACGAUACUUUAAUUUUAAACUCUAUUGAACUUUUUUUAAUGUUCUCGCUUUUCUUUUAAAUGCAUUUCACUUGUGUGUUUUGUAUUCAGGCUGAUUUUAACUUUAUUCUCAAAUAUACAAAAUAAUUUUUGGUAAUUAUCUUGUGUCGAUCUUGACUUGUAGUAUCAAUGUGAAAUAUGUAAUAAUUACUUUUCUAUGAUUCAGAGGGAAAAUUAUUCCAACUAGACUUUUACAAAUAUAUUUCAAGUGGUAAUAUGAUUUUAAAAAAAAUAGGAUUCGCCACAAAAAAAAGUUACUGUUCCUAAUUGACAUGGUGCUGUCAAAAUUAUUUAAUUACAAUUUAGAUCUUCACUCUACAUAUAAUUAAUUAAUUACCAAUUAUUUAAAAGACUAGUAAAUUAUAAUUUUAAUCUCUCUACAACUUUCUAAAUUUAGUUAUGAUUCUCUCAAAAAAAUUUCCCUUAAAUAUUAAUUAUAAUUACCUUUAGACAGAAACAUUUCUAAUUUAAACAAGCAAAAAUAAGAAAAAAAAAUAGAUUACAAAAACUAAAUUUGAAUUUUUUUAUAUAACUCCAAAUAUAUUUUAUCCAUAAAUAAAUUCUAUUAAUAUUUCAUUUCUGUUUAAAUAGUUUAUUCAUAUUUGUAAUAUUAUUUUCAAAAAACAAUAAUUGUUUUUUGAAUAAAGGUUUACAAAUUCUAUAAUAAUGUAAAUGAGAAGAGGAGUGAGGGUAAAAAUAUGAGAACCUAUGUGAGGGAAUCUUGUGACAAUUUAGCUGGUGUUCAACUUGUGAGAAGUCUUUCAACUUGGUUUUCAAGUUUUAUAUUCAAUUUCUGUUCCUUCAAAUGUUUCUGAUUUUACAGCUCCUCAGGAUUUUACAGCUCCAUGCACAAACCUAAUACAAUGAUAUGAUAUUCAAUCAGCAUUAAUUAGCAUAAACAGGUACCUUGUUGUAAAACUGGGAAUAUGAGAUUCCAUAGGAUGGAGAAAAGUAUGAAGAGGAAUUACCAAUCACCAUUUACCAAUCAUAAUGCCUUCACUACAAAUGCAACCCAAAUAUGCUAAAGAAGUUAAUGAAACUAUAUAUGAAGAGUUUCAAGAAGAUGCAACUCUGGGACAACAGAGCAACCCAUCUCAUGCUGAACACAAACAUCAAACUACAUCUAACAAUAAUUCAGAAAUCUUAAUCAACAAUUGAGCGAACCCACUCCUAAAAUGCCAUUGAGAAUGUAAAUAAAUCAAAAUACAUUAAAAACGAGAAAUUCUUAAUAAAAAUUCAACGUGUUGAACCUUGUAAUUUAGAAGUAUUAACGAGAAGCCAGUUUAGAUCCUCACCAAUGAAAGACUAUUUUACAGGUUAGCUUCCACUGGAUUCUUCAAUGUGAACAGCACCACCAUAUUUAUCAUCUUUCUUUUUGGAAUAAAGAGGGCAUAUGCCGCAUUCUUUUAUUGUCACAACUGACCACCCAAAGUCAUAAAGAGGACUGAUCUCAAAAGUGAAGCUGCGAGCAUCACACAGCCUAGGGCUUAGGGAUUCUAAGUUAAAUUUCCAGACGAAUGUGUGAUCUUUAUCAACAAAACUGUAUUCACCAUUCCAUUUGAAAUGUCUGUUUAACCUAUCAUUAUUUGGAAUGAUAUGUGUGCCAUCAUCAUCAGAUUCAAAUUUUAGGCUGUAACCAAAAGAACCAUAUCUACCUUUAACAGAAUUCGUAUCUAACACUCCAAAAACCACACACAAAGCGAAACCAGUGAGCCUAUCAUCGCUGCAGAAACUUAAAUCUUCAUUUAUAGUCACUGAAUGUCCCUUCCCACGAAAAUGGAACCAACCAGGAACUGUACUCCCUGGAAAACAGAAGAACACAGACCUAUAUCUAUCAUCGGUCAUCCUAAGCCUUGCAUCCUCCUCAAUGUUAGCACGACCACCUGAAUCCAGUUGUUGAGCAUUGGUGAAACGAAAUUUGAAGACACCCUCUUUGGAAUUUGACAAGUUUUGAACAAGAGAAUUUGGCAUCACUCUUCUAAUGGAUGGGCAAUCCAAUGCCACGAGUUGUUUUAGAAAUGGUGGAAUCUGUGGGAUGCAUUCAAGCUUUUUGCAGUCGCUUAAAUCAAGCGAUUUCAAGCUUGAAAGAUGAGCAAUGCUCUCAGGAAGGUUCACGAUUCCGCUAUCACGCAGUGACAGUUUCACUAAUGACGUCAAGCGACCGAUGUGUCUUGGGAUUUUUGUUAAUUUGGCACACCCCGAACAAUCAAGUUUAGAGAGUAGCUUCAGACUAACAAUGGAGUUUGGAAGUGACUCGAGAUCAGUGCAUUUGCGGAGCUCCAGGGAUCGAAGAUUAACGAAAUUGGCAAAUGAGGAAGGCAGUACUUUAACAGCCGUAUAUGAUAAGUCAAUGCGAGCAAAAGUAGGAGCCCGCUCCGUGAUAUCUGGGAAGGUACUCAGGCUUGAGCAACCACACAAAUCAAGCUUGCUCAAUUUCAAAUUGAAAAUGCUGCUUGGAAAAGUCUGAAGUGAAUUACAGCGGGUGAGGUGUAACUUGCAUAGUCUGGUGAGGCUUCCAAUGGAAGAUGGAAUAAUCUGAAGAUUGAAGCAACUGCGCAAACUCAGUUCUUCAAGCCCUAUCAAACGGCACAAGGAUGAAGGUAGUGCCUGUAUGGCUGUGGCGUCUAAGAUGAGCACCGCUAGAUCUUCCAACGUGUCCUGAAUCUCGGGUAAAUUUUCCAAUUUUGAGCAACCACGGAGAGAAAGUUGAUUUAUGAAUUUCAUAUCAGAAAGGUCAAUUGGAAAGAUUGUAAGAGAAGAACAGUGAGAGAGAUCUAUGUGAGAGAGCUUCUUGCCACUAAAUUGUAAGGGCACACCUUCGUAGUCUUCUGAGUAUUCUGAGUCUGUAGCAUUAUUAGCAUUUAUCUCUUUCAUCAUAUCCGGUUCCUGACGCUCCAGUAUGACAUGAGGGAGAAAUUUAUCUUCAUGUUCACCCAAUGAAAACAUAUUAAGCUUCUCACAACCGGAAACACUAAUCCAUCCUGGUGAUGUGGAUAAAAUGUUGCUGGGAAUAUUUACACUUUUGAGAUUAGAACAAUGAUCUAAACAUAAACAACUGAGCUUGGUGAGGAAUAUCGAAGAGUGAACUUCAAUCAACUUUGAACAAUAACUCAGCUUUAUUUCUUCAAUAUUCGGUGACAGAGAAAGGUCUGGUAUUCUAGUAAGUUCCCAAGAUUUAACCAGGUCGAGCCUUUUCAAGUUGGGUAAAUUCUGCCAGAAAUAGUAAAUGAAUGAGGUAACAAAUAAAAACUACUUUAUCUAUUUUUCUUCCUAUUUAAACUAUUAGCUACUAUCUAUUGAGUUUAUAUUUUACAUUACUUAAAAACCACUGUUAAAAAAACCACACUGUGGACUAACAAAACUCUGCCUAUAAAUUUUAUAGUUAUUAUAAAAAAUCACAAAAUUUAACGUCUUUUUGUUCCCUACCUAAAAUUACAUCCUAAUCAUUUGAACCUAAACUUAUUAUGUAUUCAAAAACUUAUGAUAGUAAUUUAUAAUCGAUCACAAUGUCAAAAUACUUUAUAUUAUACAUGUAUCAACUCACAAAAUAAAUGGUGUUGUCUCAGAUUUAAAAUUAAACCUUAGUUAAAAAGUCCAUCUUUCCAUAAUUUAUUUUAUUAAAUACAUAAUUUGUAAUUUAUUGUAUAUUAUAUUCAAGUUUAUGUUAUGAUAAAAAAAGUAUCUAAGGCAUUUUUAAUUAAAUAAUAUAAAAUAAACAACAUGAACUCAAUUAAAUAAUAUAAAUUUUUUUGAAUACUCGAUGGAAUAAAAAAAUUAAUAAAACCCUCAAUUUGAAAAUAACCAAAUUUAUAAGAUACUUAAAACUUAAUUAAACCUACAAAUUUUCAUUAUAUGGAAUUAAAUAUUGUAAAGAUUUACCACAUAAGUUUCAUAAGUAGAAGGUUUAAACAUAAAAUUCUUCACGUUGGGAGUUUCUUUCCUCUAUCUUAUAAGUUUUCGUUGUUUCUUUAAUAUUUUUUAUAUGGCUUCUGUCAAUGUAAUUUUUUUUUUGGUUUUAAAAUAUUAUUAAAGAUAAAAUAUGAAGACAGGGUAAUUAAAUUAAAUAUAAUUUUUAUUUUUCAGAAAUGAUGAAAAUUAUAAUUAAAUUAACUAAAUUAUAUAAAAUUCCAUUUUAUUUACAUAACUCAUUUUCAUAUUAAAAAACUAUAUAAGAUCUUCCAAAGUAGAUAUAAUACAUUCACGGGCCAUUAGAUGAUAUGCCUAAAAAAAUAUGCAAACUAUUAAAUUUAUAAUUAUCUUUAAUUAGAAACAUGCUGAGUAUGACUCAAAUAAAAGAAAUUUCAAAUCGAAUAAUGUCGAGAAGGCACAAAGGAAUUGCAAAUGAAAACUUGUAUAUGUAUAAUACAGAAAACAUGCUUGUAUAAUUUAUUUUUAUCUUUGAAAGUUUAGAACACAAAGGAACAUAGAUAGCUUGAAAAACCUGAUCUCCUUCCCAGAGUUGUUCAAGAUGGCAGAAUGGCAUUUCGAGGGUCACUAGAUUUUGUGGGCAAAAGUUUGGAGGCCAAAAUCUUUGAGGGAAAUGUGUCCAAUAAAGAAUCUUUAGAGUGUCUGGCAUAUCCACAAGAGGUGAUUCAAAAGACACUUUUAAUUCCAAUCCCCACGUGUAGAGCCUAAGCACCCUAAGAUUGUUCAUCUUUUCGAAACUUUGUGCAUGUACUACAACUUCUUUUACUUUGAAAGUAGAUAGUGAUAUACACUCUAUUGAAGUAGAUAGUGAUAUACACUCUAUUGCAUCUGACCCCUGAAAGUAAAUCAUGAAAUGUUGCAUUGCAGGAUGUUUGAUGACAGCUCAGUGGUUUGCAAUUUUUCACAAAGUAAAUCCAUUCUCAAUUGAGUAACGACAUAAUACCUUGUUCUUUCUUAAAACCUCUCAAAUUUCCUCAGCAUUAAACAAUCGGCUGCGUUUUCCAGGAUGCUGAGGACACUCUUUACGAACAAUUUCUUUACCCAUUUCUUGUAUUAGAUCGUGCAUCACAAUUCUACCAUGAAAGACAGAUAUUAGGCCCCUAUCUUUGAGAAUAUCCAUUCCAAUCUUGGAAGAGAAACCACAGUCAGCAAGUAUUUCUGCUACCACAAUCUCUUGUGACCUAUAUAAAAGCAAGCUAUGUCAAGAAAUAUAUUCUUCUCCUCCUCCUCGAGCCCAUCAUAACUUAAUUUUAAUACAUUGAAAAUACCAAGAUGUUGGCCCUUUUCCAACUUUUGCAACUGACUCUCCCAUGCUUCUCUUGUUCUUCCAUAAAGCAAUGACCCCAAAAUCUGGAGAGCUAAUGGAAUCCCUUUUGCAUAUCUCAACACCUUUUCUGACAGUUCCCUGUAAGCAAUUUCUUCUGAAGAUUUUUGUUUAAAAGCAAGUAAACUAAAAAGUUUCUGAGAAUCAUCAAAAUUCAACUCCUUAACUUCGUAGAUAUCAUCAGCUCUAGCAUUCUUAAGCACUUGUUUGUCUCUACUGGUGAUAAUGAUUCUACUGCCCUGCCCAAAACUAUCACUCCCUCUUAUUAAUUUUUGAAGUUGAGCUGAAUCGGUAACAUCAGUUAGAAGUGGAACACGUUUGUAGAAGUGGAACACGUUAGUUGGUUAGUUGCCUUAAGAAGCGGAUCAUGUAUUUUUUCUUGAACGUCUAAAACAAGGCUGCUGGAAUCAAACUGCAAUUCCAAUUUGUGAUAUAUUUGAUCACAAAUUGUAGUUUUUCCUAUUCCUCCCAUGCCACAAAUGCCUAUGAUCCGAACAUCCGGUAAGUCAAGAUGCAACAAGGACUGAAUUCCUUCAAUAUUUUUUUCAAUGCCGAUGAUUCCUUGAUCAUAACUGAUGGAAUAACGAUUCAAUUUUCUCAAAAUAUCUCCCACAAUUCCUUCAACAAGUGUGUGUUCUGACCUGGCAGAUGAUUUAGAAAAUAAAGUAUAAGUAUUCAUGCACAAAAGCUAAAACAAAACUAAAGAAAAAUUCAGAGUCAAGAAGAGUGAACAUCAUUGAAUAGAUUCACAUAUUGAUUGUAGGACGUUAUCUUCGAAUAUUAGUGUGGUUGGUUUAGAAAUUGCAAAUCAAGAUCGCAGAAAUUCUACAGUAACCGGUAGUGACUUCUGAUACUAGGAAGCAGUCUUGUAGGUACAAAGUUAAGCUAUAAGAUGUGAUAUGGUUCAGAUCUAUGACCCACUACGAAAAAUGGAAAAAAGAAACACUUGAUUUAUGGUGAGAUGAACACAAUUUUAGUAAAUGAAAAGAGAUCCUGAUUAUCUAAUAAAUAUAAUGACCUGGUGACUUUUGAAUCCCAGCCUGAAAGUCCAGCAGCUUCGGUGAGAGCAUCCUUCCAUCCUUGCACUUUGUCGUGCUUAAAGUGCUGCUCAUGCUCAUCGAAUGCUUCUUUGUAUCUUUCUUCCUGCUUCCUAAUAGUUGACGGAUCCACCUUGUAGAAAACAGGUAUGACAUCCCUUCCAUAUCUCUUCUUGCAAUCAAGUAUCUUAGUGAGUUCAUUCAAGCACCAAGUGGAAGAUGCAUAGUUUUGGGAGAAAACGACGAUAUAAAUCUUCGAUUCUUCUAUUGCAGAGAGCAGUGCAGAUGAAAUUUCUUCGCCCCGGGGUAGUGUCUCAUCAAUAUAUGCUUCUAUGUUCUUCCUUUGCAGUGCUGGAUGAAGGUGGCUAAUGAAGUUGUCACGUGUGUCUUCCCCUCUGAAGCUGAGAAACACAUCAUGCUUUGUUAGAGAAGUGGACACGGGGAAUGAUGAAGAACUUCCUGUUUAAUUUCUUCGCCCCUGUUUAAUCUGUAAUCAAUAUAUGCUUCAAUGUUCUUCCUCUGCAGCGCUGCAUAAAGGUGACUAAUGAAGUUGUCACGUGUGUCUUCCCCUCUGAAGCUGAGAAACACAUCAUGCUUGGUUAGAGAAGCAGACAUGGCCAAUGAUGAAGGGUUUCAAUUUUCUCUGCAACUCUCAGAUCCCUUUGUUUGUAAGCAACUUGCAUAUAUUCUAUUUCUAUCACAAAUCAACUUUUGGAAAAGCCUUCAAUUCAAAAUAUGCUUCACAGCUUUAUAUUAACGUGCCUAGCUUUAUACCAUUCUUACGCAUUGGUAAAGAUUCUUCAAUAUCUUUACUCAAUUUGUUUCUUCAAUACCUUUUACACAUUCUUACGCAUUGGUAAAGAUUCUUCAAUAUCUUUACUCAAUUUGUUUCUUCAAUACCUUUUACAUAUAAAGAAUCGGAUUUGUUUAAUAUAUUUUAGAAAAUAACCAGUAAACAGAAAACUAGGUUAAUAUGACUAAAUGAAUAAAGAUAGUACUCAUAAAAAAUAUUUUAGAUUACAAGUGGUAUAACUAAAAUAAAAUAUUUUAUUUUUAAAAUAAAAUUUAUAAAUAAAUAAAAAAAUAUAAUUGUUUAGUUUUCGGUGUAAAACAAUAUUCAUUUUUAUAAAAAAAAAUCUUUUCUCUUUUAUUUUAUUUUUAUAUUUCUAAUUAGAGUAUUCUUGAGUUUGACAAUAGAAUCCUUUCUUUGGACUUUUGGAAUUAAAUAAAGAUGUUAAUUGAAAAAAAAAAUUGAAAUAGAAACUAAUUUAGAAACCAAAUUUCUUUUUAGUUUCUAAAAUGGUCUCUAAUUUAGUUACUAUUGCAACUAAUUGUUUUGGUUUCUAGAAAUUGGUUUCUAUUUCAUGAUUUUCUUGUAGUGUAUACUGAAGGUGUGCACCCCUAUGAAAUGUUUUUAUUUCUAGUUGAUGUGUGAUUUCCAAUAAUUAUAUAAAUUGAUUGUUAUAUGCAGUGUGAAGUUUAACCUUGAUUUUUACUUGAAAAAAUGGAUUUUAAUAUGAGGUAUGCAUGCUCUCAUACUCAAAUUCAAUAAGCGGAAUUUUCACAUGUCAAUAGAAUUUGAACCUGCAUAGUUUUGGGCACUCUCCACCUCAAAUUCGCUCAAUGUUUUUUCCUGCGUUUAAGCGAAAUUACAUGCAGAUUUUGGAGUACUUUCGGGCUUAAAAUUGCUCAAAGAAAUUUCCCUAUGGCAAGCAAAUUUAAGCUACAAUUGUUUGGGUGUUCUUUGCCUCAAAUUCGUUGCCUCAAAUUCGUUCAGCGAAGAUUUCUCUGGGCUUAAGCCCCAACUUCAUGGGCUCGAGCCAUUUUGACAACAUUUGUCAUCUUUGCUUAGAUAUCUUUUGGUUUGUUUUCUAUAGGUCAUGAAAUUGAAUUAAAUCUUUUGAAAUUUAACAUGUGUUUAAAAUAAGUAAAUCUAACAUUUAUAAUCAUGCAACAUGUGUUUAAUUUAUAAAAAAAAUAUAAAACAAAUACUCAUUAUAUAUUCAAUUGAUAUGUAAAAUUUUAAAUAUUAUGUGAUUAUUGUUGAUAUUUUGUAACGGUUUUAAAAAUAUAAACUUCUAUAUGAUUGAAUGAUAUAUUAUCGAUACAUAGUAAUUUCAAGUAAGGAAAUACUUUGUUAAGGAUAGUUAGGAUGUGUCUUGAUUAGUAAUACAUUUAGAAUAAGAUAUUUGACUCUAUUCACAUAUUAAGGUGGUGACAGUCAAAUGAGAUUUAUAUGAUUUGAUCUACAAUAUAAAAAAUCAUAAUCUAACAUGCCAUAUGAAUUAACCUUGUCAUAUUAGGUGAUUCUAUUAUGAUAUUCUUAUUCGCAUAGAUGUGUGAAUUUCACAAUGGGGUAUUAUAACAUGUGCAAAUUUUUUAGUCUAAAUCAAUGUACGAUUCUUUCAGAAAUAGGGUCAAGUGUACAUGUGGAUCUAAUUAGAUUUUUGACAUGAGUAAUAUGGAACACAAGUCAUUUAGAGACACUUAAUUGUUUAAUAUAUUAGGAAUGAAUGAAGUGUGAUUAUUCAUAUGAUUAUGAUUGAAUGAUUCAAAUAUAAAUUUUAAAAAUCAUUAACUUAGCCUAAUUUCUUGUUAGUAUCAUUUUUUUGUUAGUAUCGUUUUUUUUUUAGAUUUGUUAUGAUCGUGAGUUACAUGUGAACAUAUGAUGUUGUAUGUUAUAGGCCUCAAAAUUGAAAAUGAGAGAGUUUUUUCUUUUAAUUCUUUUGAUGUUUUAUUUUGAUGUAUAUAUUUGAUUAUGAUAUAAUAAUAUUACAAUGUAAAUGUUAUUUAUAUACUAUCACAUGGUAAAUUAAAAUUUAAUAAGGUAGUUAAGGAUGUUAUAAUUAUUCUUUUAAUUUAUUUUAUUUCACUGUAUAUUUAGGUGUAUUACGUAAAAUGUAUAGUUAAAAAAAAUAAUGUUAUUUUGAAAUUUAAGCUUUUGUUAAAAUUAUACCAUUUGAAAAGGAACACAGAACAAUCUUGACAAUUAUACUGACUUAGUACUUAUUUUAAUUUAUUAUAUUCAUGAGUAUUAUUUUUUUCUUAAACAUAAAUAUUGGAUAAAAAAUAUAAAUAACAUUUAUUUAUUUCAAAUUUAAAAAUCUUUAAAAUAAAUAUAAAUAAUAUUUUUAAUCAAGAUGUGUUUUUUAACAAUUUUUUUUAAUUUAAAAAUAAUUAAUUCGGACGAUGAUUAAAGAAAUAUUAACAAAUUAUUUCUGCGAUUAUAAUAAACCUUCAAUAAUUUUUGCACUUUCUAGCAUAUAGAAUAUGGAUCCUUUUGUGAUUUUUCUUUUCUAAAGUACAAUUGAUAUUUUAAAUGUUUUUCUAUUUAAUUUUCCUUUCUUAAUGCACAUAAAAAUUUCAGUGCACAAUUAUUACUCACCUUAAUUCAAAAUGGAAAUUAAAAUUCAAGAACCCUACUUAUAUAUUAAUAUUCAACGAUUUAAAAUAUUAGUAUGCAAAUUAAUCUUUCUUAAUAAUAUUUGUAACAAUUUUUAAUAAUUCAAUGUGAAAUAUGUAAUAAUUACUUUUCUAUGAUUCAGAGGGAAAAUUAUUCCAACUAGACUUUUACAAAUAUAUUUCAAGUGGUAAUAUGAUUUUAAACAAAAAUAGUAUUCUCCACAAAAAUAAAUAGUUACUGUUCCUAAUUAAACAAGUCACAUUCUUGAACAAAAUAUCAAAUAACAAGGAAUUAGACUAUGAAAUGAUGACCAAUUAUAUUAAACAACAUAACAUACAUUUCUCAAUGUACACAAGGUAUAAAUAAUACAAUAUCAUCCAAAACCUGUGUUCACUAUGUAAAUAAACCAUUUUUUUUGCCAUUACCUCUUUCAUGAUGAUGAUUUGUUUACUAGGGAUUGCAAUGAUAGGUCAUGAUCAAAACUUAGGCCUAAGACUAAAAAUAGAAUGAAAUGAGCAUGAAAAUAAAGAUAACUUUUGAGUGAGACACAUUCUUCCUUACAAGCAGCAAGUUCUUCCAGGUUAUCUUCUCUUCCUUCAACCGUAGCUGUGCAACCGCCUGUUGUUCAUUGCCACCAAUAUCUCUAGUGCCAAAACUAUGUUUUCCAAAAUUAGAGUUAUAUGGCUUUAUCUGUGAAGUCUUACCAGCCAUAAUGUUUUAUUUUACUGUUUUGUUGUAAUCAUGCCAAUAGAUAAAUCGUGGAUUUGUAAACCACGAAACACCAUUGAGUAUGCAAAUGGGUUGAAUGUGUUUUUGGAUAUUGCAUUUCAACAUGCUAAUGGUCCUGUAAUUAAGUGUCCAUGUGCAAAGUGUGGUUUCAAAAAGUGACAAACAAGGGAUGUAAUCCAAGAACACUUAACAUUUACAACUUUCCCUCAGAACUACAAAACUUGGUAUUUGCACGGUGAAAGACCAAGUGUAAUUGAGCCUAUGGUCACUACAAGUGUGCAUGUCAUUGAAGAUUUAUUUGAAUCUCAAAAUACAAUGGAAGACAUGUUGAAUGAUGCAUUCGAGUUUGCGGGACAUGAUGAGGAUACUGAAGUUGAUGGUUUGCAAACUAAUAUGGUGGGUGAUGAAGGAAUAUGAACUUUGAUGAAUUGAUGAGGGACAAUAAUGAACCCUUAUAUGAAGGUUGUACAAAGCAUUCGAAGUUAUCAUUCAUGUUGAAGUUGUACCAUAUCAAAUGCAUGAGUAGAAUGAGUGACAAAGCAAUGACCAUGAUUCUAGACUUGCUAAUGAACACAUUUGAACAUGCUAAGUUUCCUAACUUGUUUUAUGAGGCGAAGACUGUGAUUACCAAACUUGGACUUAAUUAUGUCAAAAUACCAGCUUGCCCAAAAGACUGAAUGCUAUAUUGGGGCGAAGACAAUGAAGGCUUAGAAGAAUGUAAACGGUUCAAAACGUCUAAGUGCAAAAAAAAAAAAAGAUAAGAAGCAAUUGCAUUACUUUCCAUUAAAACUGUGAUUGCAAAGAUUGUUUAUGAGUUCUAAGAUGAUUGAGUCUAUGACAAGGCAUGCAUCAAAGGAUAAUCAAGAUGGAUUGAUGAGGCAUCCUAGAGAUUCUGAGGCUUGCAAAUCAUUUUAUUGCAUCCAGAAUUUGUAAAUGACCAUUGAAAUGUACGAUUAGACUUAGCUGCUUAUGGCUUUAAUCCUUAUGAAAACAUGAGUAAAAACCAUAGUAUAUGACGAGUGGUUAUCAUCCCAACAAUCACCCUCCUUGGGAGUUAUGAAGCAAACAUCUUUUAUCCUCUACAUGAUAAUUUCUGGAAAACAAAUGGUAGAAAAUGACAUUGAUGUUUAUUUAAAACCACUUAUAAGCAAAUUGAAGGAGUUAAUAGUAUGAUCAUGUAAUUAUUAUUUAUAUACUAAAUAUUACGACAUAUAGUAAUUUAAAAUUUGAUAAGGUAGAUGAGGAUAUUAAAAUAUCUCUUUUAAUUUAUUUUAUUUUAUUGUAUAUUUAGGUGUAUUAUGUAAAAUAUAUAAUUAAAAAAAAUAAUGUUAUUUUAAAAUUUAAAGAAUCACGUAUAGAAAGAAACAUAUAACAAUCUUGACAAUUAUAUUCUGACUUAGAGAUACUUAUCUUAAUUUAUUAUAUUCAUGAGUAUUAUUUUUUUCUUAAACAUAGAUAUUGGAUAAAAAAUAUUAAUAAUAUUUAUUAUUUAAAUUUUAGAAAUAUUUAAAAUUAAAAUUAAAAUUAAAUAAUAUUUUUAAUUAAAAUAUGAAAAAAAUUCCUUAACAAUUUUUUUAAUUUCAAAAUAAUUAAUUCAGAGGAUGAUUGAAAAAAUAUUAACAAAUCAUUUCUGCGUUUAUAAUAAACCUUCAAUAAUAUUUGUACUUUCUAUCAUAUAGAAUACUUAAUGGAUCCUUUUGUGAUUUUUCUUUUCUAAAGUACAGUUGAUAUUUUAAAUGUUUUUCUAUUUAAUUUUCAUUUCUCAAUGACAAAUAAAAUGGUUCAGUGCACAAUUAAUUAUUCUCACCUUAGAUUUCAUUCAUCUCAUUCCAUUUCCACACUCAAAUCAUUCUCACAUUUUUUUCUACCUAUUUCACAAAGUUUUUGUUAAAAUAUGGAAAUUAAAGUUCAAGAACCCUACUUAUAUUUCAUAUUCAACAAUUUAAAAUAUUAAUAUGCAAAUUAAUAUUUCUUAAUAAUGUUAUUUUUAUGUAAAAAUUAAAAUGUAGUUUAGUCAUUCAUACUUAGAUGGAUAAAAAUGGUUUUAGAAAGAAAAAAAUAUGCAUUUUUUUGAAAGGUUAUCUAAACUCUAAACUCAUUGAUGAAUUAAUAAUAAUAAAUAAUAUGGAAUUCUAUACGAAUAGCAUAUAAAUGUUUUCUUGUUGAAACUGAUAAUUAAUUCAGUCUAGGGACAAUUAUCGCGGUAUUUGUUCUUUUAUUUUUAAUGUUUAAACAAUUAUAAAAUUCUGUUUUUAGAUAUUAAAAUGAUAGUUUUCAUUUACAGAUUAAAAUAUUACUUGUUUCUUUUAAGAUUUUUUGUAUUAUAAUUAUUUGUUGUCUGAAUUGUUUUGAUUUAACAUGUUGUUUUCUUGGGCUAUGAUAUUGUGAGGUUUUAUUACAUGCAGGUACGUGAAUAUUUUUUUUAUCCUAGUUGUAUAAAUCAGGAAAAUUGUUUUUCACAUUAUAAUAACCGUUUAACAACUCUAAAUAAUAAUAAAAUAUUAACUCAUAUUGUUUAAUUAAAGUAUAAAUUAAAUUAUUAAAUAAAAAAGUAGUAAAACUGGUUGCAGGAUGGGAAUAUGAUUAUUUUUAACUGCUAGCUCCUGAUUAUUCUUUUCUAAUAAAAAAAACACCAAUAGCAACAAAACAAGUUUUGACACACGUAGGUUUGGCAAUUGUUUUAAUAGCUGAAAAUAGUACAACAAUUUUUAAUUACCACAAACUGCAUCUUAAAUCAUAAAAAAUUAGCAUUUUGUUAGUUCAUAUAUAAUAAAAUUUCCAUAAAACAGCCAAUUGUAUUAAUUAUUAAUAAUGUAUUUACAAUUUUUUUAGAUAAUUUUUUUACUAUAAAGACAUUUAUUUGAGAUUGAAAUUGUAAUUAACACUUUUUGGUCAAAGAAUAAUAUAUUUCACUUGAUUUUUUGUAUUAAAUAUUUUGUAUAGCGCUGAGACAAAAAAAAAUCUCAUAUAAAUCCCUAUGUGCUACAAGUACAAUAUAACAUCCUUAAUGUAAGCAAUAAAAAUGAUGAAUACUCAAAGUCGUGUAAUUACGCAAAAGAAUCAAGUGAUUUUUAAAAGAACUCACAUGAUCAGUUUAAAUUUUGACGAUAAAAUACAUUAAUUAUAUAUAUUUAUUCAAAAUUUCAAUUAUAUUAUGCAUUAAUGGUUUUAUGCUUUUAGAGGAAUCAGAGAAACUUAGAAAAGCUCCUAAAAACUAAUGUAACCCUAUGAAUAGAAGAGAGCUAAAAGAAAGAGAAAAUGGAAGUGAGAAAAGAUGAUAAUUAAUAAACACGCUCUCUUCAUAACAUAGAGUCUUUAAACCUAUAUUCCCUCAAACAAUUAUAAAGAAUUAACAAUCACACUUUUAUAAGUCAUCACCCACAUGAAACAAAACAAGGUGCCUCAAUAUGAAUAAACCAAGAUUAAUAAGAAAUAUGAGGUUUCACUAACCAAGCUCAGAAUUUUCUGCUUUUAUAGCUCCAUGCACAAACCUAAUACAAUGAUAUGAUAUUCACUGCAAAUGCAACCCAAAUAUGCUAAAGAAGUUAAUGAAACCCAAAUAUAAAGAAUUUGAAGAGAAUGCAACUCUGGGACAACAGAGCACACCAUCUCAUGCUGAACAGAAACAUCAAACUAUAUCUAACAAUAACUAUACCUAUGUUUGCUUUGGGUCUGUUUUUAGUUUCAAUGUUACUCUUUAUCUGCAGGUUGGGAACAUAUCUUGAUGAAAUAUAGAAACAUUUUUAUUCAUAAUAUAUAUAAGGAUUACACAUUCAUAAUUAUUUCUUUCUGUCGUAGCAUUGUCUACCUCAAAUCACUGCAACUUUCUGUUGUUGGUAUUUGCAUAUCACGAUGGUUAUUGAGAAAUUUAGGAGUUUGCUGUUGUGUACCAGAAGUAAAAUAGAAGGUUCAUUUUUUGGUCAUCAUCAAUUAUUAAUGUAAAUAGAUAUAGGUGAAGGAGAUCAGUAUUAUGCAUUGUAUCAUGGACCAUUAGAAGACUAGGGUCACCAAUUGGAGGCAUUGGUAACUUUGGCUAGUAAAACUAAAACCAAAGUCCAUUUUUACAAAGCCUUGGUCUAAUUCACCUUAUAGCUGUACUUUUUCCUCCAUUUUAAUAAUAUUAAGUUUUCAUUUUCUAUGCAUAAUCUUGGGUAAUUUUCUUUUUAUAUCAAUGCUUGAAGUGUCAAAUUGUUACAAGCUGGAUUAUUAAGAAAGAAAAGAGUGCAUUCUGGAUGCUCGAAAGGGAGUGUUUCCUAGAAAAAAAAUGUGAUUUCAGGGUGUCCAGGCUCAGGUAGCAAUGGUAGGAGUUCCACAUUGAAAUGGAUGAACUACUUGAUUUAGUACUUUGGGACUCUCUCACCUAAUGGACUAGUAUUUUGGGUUAGCUUCUCUCCCCUUAAUGCUUAAGUCCUAAAAAACAGUUUUUCUGUUUCUAUUUAUCUUUUAGGGUGUGAUUAGGACCAUGAAGCAGUGGGUGUUUUUUCCAUUAAUGAACUUUGCCACUGCCACAGAUCACCUAGGUUAACCUAAUUAAGUCUUCUGAAUUGUAUUUUGUAAUUAAUUCUUGUAAAACAUGGAGUGUAAAAUUCAUGUACAUUUUUCUUUUCCUCUUUUGAUUUGGAUGUCAAACUAGCAACUUCAUGUUUUGUCUGGUUGGUCUAUCACAUUUAUGUAGGUUGUAAUCUAUUUUGCCUAAUGCAUCAGUUGCAGAUAGGUACUAAAUUAUCUUAGUUCGGAUACACCUUGCCAAUUAGAUUAAGAUCAAGAAUUUAAAGUGAAUGGUUCACUUCUGAGUUCUUAAAUGAGAUAAAAUGUUCAGAGAUACUAAAUCAUCGCCUUCAUUUGAAAAUUGGCGUGCCUAUUAUGCUUUUGAGAAAUAUUGAUCAAACCAACGGUCUUUGUAAUGGAACAAGGUUGCAAGUUAUUGAUUUGAAGAAAAUGUUAUUUGUGCAAUAGUUCUAACAGGAACAAAUAUUGGUGAUAAAAUCUUCAUUUCAAGAAUGAAUUUGAUCCCUUUAGAUGUAGGUAUGCCAUUCAAAUUCCAGAGAAGACAAUUUCCAAUAGCUUUAUGUUUUGCAAUGACAAUUAAGAAAAGCCAAGGUCAAUUAUUGACCAAAGUUGGUUUAUAUUUUUCACAUCCAAUUUUCACACAUCGAUAGUUGUAUGUAGCUAUUUAUAGAGUUCGAAAGAAAAAAGAUUUAAAAAUUCUAACUCUUGAUGAAGAUGGAAUGCAACAAACAAGAAAAAGAAAAUGUUUACACUGAAAUUUUUGACAAUAUUUGAAAACAAUAGAAUUAUAUGAUAAACUUGGAAUGGCUAAUUCUCCCUGCAACCAAUAUUUUUGAACCUGCAACUUUUAAAUUUUUGAAAAUGCUCUUUAUUCCAGAAAUGAAAAUAAUACAUUACAAAAAAAAUAGAUCCAAAAAAGAUUAUUGUGUUUUGGUAAUAAAAAUCGGAAAACAAAAAUCAAAAGCCCAUUAUGAAUAAGAAAAUUCGUAAUACAAAAAAUUUGGUCUUAAAAACAAAAUCUGAAAACAUAUUCCAGAAAGAAAAUCCGAAAUGUAUUUUUAUAUAUAACCCAUUUUUUCAAGGGAGUUUCGUCUUUUCUAUUGUAAAAGGGGUUGGAAUUUGCUCCCUUGGAAUUAUAGUUUCUUAUGUGUGAUGUAGUAACAGUUGCCUUAUUUAAAAUGUUACUAAAUAACAUAUAAUUUAUAUCUGUUAUUUUUAUUCUGUUAUGACUUUAUAUAUUUGUCACAACAUGAAUGAGGCACAAACCCAUCUCAUGUUAACGAAGUUGAGAAUUUUCUGAUUUUACAGGUCCAUGCAAAAAUCUAAUAUAAUGAUAUGAUAUUCAAUAUCAAGAGGUACUUGUCGUAAAACGGGGAAUAUGAGAGACUCCAUAGAAUGAAGAAAAAGUAUAAAGAGGAUUUACAAAUUAACCUUUCAAAUGCAGCUCCUCAGAAUUUCAUAAUGCCUUCACUGCAAAUGCAACCCAAAUAUGCUAAAGAAGUUAAUCAAACAAUACAUGAGGAGUUUCAAGAAAAUGCAACUCUGGAACAACAGAGCAACCCAUCUCAUGCUGAACAGAAACAUCAAACUAUAUCUAACUUAGAAAUCUUUGUCAACAAUUGAACGAACCCACUCCUUAAAUACCAUUGAAAAUGUAAAUAAAACAAAAUAAAUUAAAAACGAGAAAUUCAUAAUAAAAAUUAAACGUGUUGAACCCUGUAAUUUAGAAGUAUUAACGAUAAGGCAGUUUAGAUCCUCACCAAUGAAAGAGACUAGCUGACUAGGUAGCUUUCGGCCUUCCUCUUCCUAUCUUCCCUUGUUUCUCUUGAAGACUCUGCAAUAUUGCUUCCAUUGGAUUGUUCAAAGUCAACAGCACCACCAUAUUUAUCAUCUUUCUUUUUCGUAUAAAGAGGGCAUAUGCCGCAUUCCUUUAUUGUGAUACCUGAUUUCAACCGAAAGUGAUAAUCACACGGACUGAUAAGUGAAGCUGCGAGCAUCACAGAUUCUAAGGCUCAUGCCGCUCGCCCUUAGGAACUCCAAGUUAAAUUUCCACACGAAUGUGUGAUCUUGAUCAACACAUCUCUCUUCACCAUUCGAAAUAGCUGUUUAACACAUCUAUCAUCGCUGCAGAAACUUAAAUCUUCAUUUAUAGUCACUGAAUGUCCCUUCCCACGAAAAUGGAACCAACCAGGAACUGCAGUCCCUGGAAAACAGAAGAACACAGACCUAUAUCUAUCGUCGGUCAUCCUAAGCCUUGCAUCCUCCUCAAUGUUAGCACGACCACCUGAAUCCAGUUGCUGAGCAUUGGUGAAAUGAAAUUUGAAUACACCCUCUUUGGAAUUUGAGAGGUUUCGAACAAGAGAAUUUGGCAUCACUCUUCUAAUGGAUGGGCAAUCCAAUGCCACGAGUUGCUUUAGAAAUGGUGGAAUCUGUGGGAUGCAUUCAAGCUUUUUGCAGUCGCUUAAAUCAAGCGAUUUCAAGCUUGAAAGAUGAGCAAUGCUCUCAGGAAGGUUCACGAUUCCGCUAUCACGCAGUGAUAGUUCCAUUAAUAACGUCAAACGACCAAUGUGUCUUGGGAUUUCUGUUAAUUUGGAGCACCCCGAACAAUUUAGAGAGAAGCUUCAGAUUAACAAUGGAGUUUGAAAGUGACUCGAUAUCAGUGUAUUUCUGAAGCUCCAAGGAUCGAAGAUUAACGAAAUUGCAAAAUGAGGAAGGCAACUGCGCAAACUCAGUUGUUGAAGCCCUACCAAACGGCACAAGGAUGAAGGUAGUGCCUGUAUGGCUGUGGCGUCUAAGAUGAGCACCGCUAGAUCUUCCAACGUGUCCUGAAUCUGGGGUAAAUUUUCCAAUUUUGAGCAACCACGGAGAGAAAGUUGCUUUAGGAAUUUCAUAUCAGAAAGGUCAAAUGGAAAGAUUGUAAGGGAAGAACAGUAAGAGAGAUCUAAAUGACAGAGCUUCUUGCAACUAAAGUGUAAGGGCACACCUUUCAUGAAUUUUGUCAACACUUCUAAGUAUAUAGUAUUAUUAGCCACUUCUUCUUCUUCAUUAUAUCUGUCAAAAGUAAUUGAGGAAGUUGGGAAAAUAUGACCACUGUAUGCACGAGGUUCACCACGCCGUCCUGCACCAUGCCGUUCUGAGAAAUUUAUCUCUUUGAUCAUAUCCGGUUUCUGGCGAUGGAAUCUUGAGAAAGUUUGACGUUGACGCUCCACGCUCCAGUAUCACAUGAGGGAAUCUUGAGAAAUUUCCACGUUGAUGCCCCAGUUUCUGAUGUGGGUAUCUUGUGACGCUCCAGUUUCACAUGACGAAAUCUGGGUUCACUGGUUGAAAACAUAUUAAGCUUCCCACAACAGGAAAUAUUAAUCCAUCCUUGUAAUGUGGAUAAAAUGUUGCUGGGAAUAUUUAUACUAUUCAGAUCAUAACAAUUAUCUAAACAUAAAUAACUGAGCUUGCUGAGUAAUAUCGAAGAGUGAACUUUAAUCAACUUUCCACAAUAACUCAGAAUUAUUUCUUCAAUAUUUGGUAAGAGAGAAAAGUCUGGUAUUCUAGUAAGUUUCCGAGAACCACUCAGGUCAAGCCUUUUCAAGUUUGGUAAAUUCUGCCACAAAUAGUAAAUGAAUCAGGUAACAAAUAAAAACCACUGUUAAAAAAAUCACACUCUGAACUAACAAAACUGUGGCUAUUCACUAUCAACAAUCCCUCUCAAAUACACUUCUACUAAUACAUUAACAACAAUAUCAUUAUAUUAACCAUAAAAUAUUACAUUUCUUCAGUUAAUACGUAGGACAAUAUAAUAAUCAGGUCACUCAGCUAAUGAAAAAAAUUAAACAACAUGAACUCAAUUAAAUAAUAUAAAACUUUUGAGUACUAGAUAAAAUAAGAAAAUUAAUAAAAAUUCAAUUUGAAAAUAAUCAAAUUUAUAAGAUACUUAAAACUUAAUUAAACCUACAAAUUUUCAUUAUAUGGAGUUAAAUACUAUAAAUAUUUACCACAUAAGUAGAAUGUUUAAAUAUAUAUUUCUUCACGUUGGAAGUUUUUUUCCUCUAUCUUAUAAGUUUUCUUUGUUUCUUUAAUAUUUUUUAAGCCAAUGUGAUUUUUUUAAUAUAAAAUAUUAUUAAAGAUAAAAUAUGAAGAUAGGGUAAUUAAAUAUAAUUUUUUAUUUUUUAGAAAUGAUGAAAAUUAUAAUUAAAUUAACUAAAUUAUAUAAAAUUCUAUUUCAUUUACAUAACUACUUUUCAUAUUAAAAAAACUAUAUAAGAUCUUGAAACUAUAAUUAAUAUUUCUACUCAUUUUUCGUUUUUGUUGGUGAAAUCUUGAUUUUGGGAUAGUAUUAGUGAGAUAUUGUUUGGAGUUAAAAACAAGAAAUUCUUUUGCAUAAUCAAUUUGAACAGUUUUGAUUUUGAAACCAGAUUUUCAGAGAAGAGUUUAAAGCGUUCAAAUGCAGCAAGAGCUUGAGAUUUAGCAUGCUAGAGAUAAAUUCAUGUAUAUUUUAAAUAUGCAUUAGGAAAAGAGAUAUCGUAUGAUGCAACAUUAUUAGCACAAACAACAAACAGCAGAACGUCCCCAAAUAUCAAUAUAGAUAAAUUCUAAAAGGUGAUUAUCCACACUGUUUUAGAACAACUUUGAUUACAGAAAAACUAUAACGCCCAAGUCUAUUAUGCCACAAGUGAAAAGAAGUUUUUUCAUAUUUAAAAGAUGUGUAGUUAGCAGAAAAAACAGAGGAUCAGAGAUCAAGAAAGACAGAGAGAUCAUCUUUAAGUGUGCCUUGUAGAAGAAUCUGUUUAGUUACUUAGUCUUUAACAUAGCAAGAAUGAGGGUGAAAUUCAAAAAACACAUUGUUGUUACGAGCAAACUUUGAAACACUAAGCAAAUUCUUAGUAUAAUGAGAAACAUGUAAAAGAUCAAGGAGAGAGAAGGAAGUACAAGAGGUAGACGACACACAGGAAGCAGAACCAAUGUGGGAGAUUUUUAUACCUGCACCAUUACCAAGUUUAACGUUCGCAAUGCCAUGAUAGAUUUGUUGAUCAUUGAACAGAGUAUGGUCGUUUGUUAUAUGGUGAGAGACACCGCUAUCUGGGUACCAUAAUGGAUCUUCUAAAGAUGAUGGUGGACCAAGAAGAGAGUAAGAAGAGUCAUCACGUGGAGGUGGAGAGAAAUGAGAUGUGUUUGCAGAGGAGGAUGGUGGUGUAGUACGAUCAAACCAGUGCCAACAAUGAAGAGCAGUGUGUCCAAGUUUGGAGCAUAUUUGACAGCGAACAGGGUUGCGUUUCCAUGAUGAAGACGUAGUGGAGUUCCAAGAAGAGUAUUGGGAAGGUCGGGGUUUGCCGCGGUUGAACUGAUUCUAGUUAGAUGUGGGAUUGUAACCACGACCACCACAGGAGGAGUUGGAAAAGGGGAGGUGGAGAGAAAUGAGAUGUGUUUGCAGAGGAGGAUGGUGGUGUAGUACGAUCAAACCAGUGCCAACAACAAUGAAGAGCAGUGUGUCCAAGUUUGGAGCAUAUUUGAGAGCGAACAGGGUUGCGUUUCCAUGAUUACGACAGUAAUAAAUGUAUUAUAUUCUUCAGAUAGCCUUCAAGGAUGAUGUCAAUAUGAUCAGUGGAAACAGGGGCAUCAAUAGCGGCAAGCAUGUUGACGGCGUUCUUGAUAUCAUGGAGAUAGGAGGAGAUGGAUCUGUGAUGACCUGAUUUUGUUGUUGGUACCAUUAGAGACUUGGGGACUGUCAUCAGUGGUGGAAGAAGUGGUUCUUGAUGGAACACUAGUGUCGUCAAGAAAAUGACCCAGUUUGAGCCCGCAAAUGGAGGCAAGGACUUGAUGUUUCCAGAGAAGAUAGUUAUCUUCAUCUAGUUUAAGAGUGAUGGGUGUUGUGAACUGUUGAACGGAAGGCAUGACCAGAGGUAACGGGCAAGAAGAAGAUGCAAAAGAAGAUGAAGAGAUAUGAGUGCAGUGCAUUAGAAUAGAGAGAGAAAGGAGAAAGAUAUUAUCUUAGUAUAUGUGCUAAAGGUAUAUAAGGAGUGCAGAACUGGAAACACUUACAAAGUUGUCGUUACACAGUUAUAGUAUGGUUAACAAUGUAUAAUACAGAAAACAUGCUUGUGUACUUUAUUUUUAUCUUUGAAAGUUUAGAACACAGAGGAACAUAGAUAGCUAGAAAAACCUGAUCUCCUUCCCAGAGUUGUUCAAGAUGGCAGCCUGGCAUUUCCAGGGUCACAGUCUGGCAUUUCCAGGGUCACUAGAUUUUGUGGGCAAAAGUUUGGAGGCCAGAAUCUUUGAGGGAAACCGUUCCAAUAAAGAAACUUUAGAGUGUCUGGCAGACCUACAAGAGAUGAUUCAAGAGACACAUUUGAUAUGAAUAUAGGCAUGUAGACCAUAAGCAUCAUAAGAUUGUCCAUCUUUUCGAAACUUUGUGCAUGUACUACAGCAUCUUUUACUUUGUUCGUAUGUAGUAAUAUACACUGUAUUGCAUCUGACCCCUGAAAGUAAAUCAAUUUAAUUAGGAGAAAAAAAACAUGAAAUGUUGCAUUGCAGGAUGUUUAAUGACAUCUCAGUGGUUUGCAAUUUUUUACAAAGUAAAUCCAUUCUCAAUUGAGUAACGACAUAAUACCUUGUUCUUUCUUAAAACCUCUCAAAUUUCCUCAGCAUUAAACAAUCGGCUGCGUUUUCCAGGAUGCUGAGGACACUCUUUACGAACAAUUUCUUGACUCAUUUCUNNNNNNNNNNNNNNNNNNNNNNNNNNNNNNNNNNNNNNNNNNNNNNNNNNNNNNNNNNNNNNNNNNNNNNNNNNNNNNNNNNNNNNNNNNNNNNNNNNNNGAUCCAUCUUUUUCUGCUGCUACCAUGUCGAACUCCCUUCAAAUCAAUACAAUGUCUUCACCAUCAAUCAGCCAAGUGAUUAAUGUUAAACUCACACAAGAAAAUUAUUUAUUGUGGUCUGCUCAAAUCCUUCCCUAUUUACGUAGUCAGGGGCUGGUUGGGUUUGUGGAUGGAUCCAUGCCACCACCAAACCAAACGAUUACGGUUGAGUCAAGUGAAGAAACAGGGAGCCGCAAAAUCCUGAAUUCACAGUCUGGUACCCCCAGGACCAGCUGGUACUCAGUCUCAUCAACUCAUCGGUUACCGAGGAAGUUCUCAGCACGGUGGUCGGAAUCACCACUGCACGAGAAGCCUGGGAUAUGCUGGAGCGGCAAUUUGCCUCCACAUCUCGAGCACGAGCAAUGCAGAAUCAUAUGGAACUCUCCACGAUCCAAAAGAAGGACAUGACAAUUGCUGACUAUUUUCGUAAAGUAAAACGUCUCGGAGACACUCUGGCUGCCAUUGGCAAGCGAGUAGAGGAUGAAGAACUCAUCGCCUACAUGCUGCAAGGACUUGGUCUAGAUUAUGAUCCUCUUGUCACAAGCAUUACAACUAGAACAGAUGUUUACACUGUCAGCGAUGUGUAUGCUCAUAUGCUGAGCUACGAGAUGCGUCAUCUGCGUAAUGGUACUCUUGAGCAAUUUCCUUUUGCUAACAAUGUCAACAGCAUGUCUAAUCGAGGAGGAACUAAUGGACGUCGUGGUGGUCGUGGUCGUCAAUCAAAUGGUGGUCGAGGACAAACAUGGCACACUAGAAACAAUUCUGGACGUCAGCCAUCAAAGGCACAAAGUAACUCAGACAAAGUCUGUCAGAUUUGUGGUAAGCCAAACCAUGAUGCUUUGCAAUGUUGGCACAGAUUUGAUCAGGCAUAUUAAGCCGAAGACAAUCUUAAACAAGCAGUUGUGGCCACAAGUGGAUAUACUGGUGAUGCAAACUGGUACGUAGAUACUGGAGCCACAGAUCACAUCACCAACGAGUUAGAAAGACUUACCACCAACGAACAUUACAAUGGCACUGAUCAGAUUCAAGUUGCAAAUGGCUCAGGUUUUUCUAUCUCUCAUAUUGGGAACUCAUUAAUUUCUGGUUCAUCUAGAUCUCUUGUACUGAAACAUAUCCUAUAUGCUCCUAAAAUCAAUAAACAUCUGAUUUCAGUACAAAGACUAGCAUCUGAUAAUAAUGCCUUUGUGGAAUUUCACCCACACUGUUUUUUUGUUAAGGACCGAGCCACGAAGGAACUUCUGCUCACAAGUAGAUGUAAGAAUGGCCUCUACACUUUACCAAAUAACUCCAGCAAAGCAUUCCCGACAGCCAAACUUUCGAAAGAACAAUGGCAUAGAAGACUUGGGCAUCCUGCUUUCCCAGUCACAAUUAGAAUCUUGAAAAAUAAUAACUUAGCUCUAGAUACUAGAGUUUCUUCUUCCUUAAUUUGCCAUGCUUGUCAACUAGAAAAGCACAUCAAUUACCCUUUGUUUCUUCUCAACAUGUAUCUACAGCACCUCUUCAAUUGAUUCAUACUGAUGUAUGGGGUCCAGCCAUUGUCUUAGUGAAUAAUUCUAAAUAUUAUGUUUCAUUUGUUGAUGAUUUUAGCAGAUAUGUUUGGAUUUAUUUUUUGAAAUACAAGUCUGAUGUUGAGUCUGUGUUUCAUCAGUUUCAAAAACAUGUUGAAACCAUGCUAAACACCAAAAUUCGCUCUGUCCAGUCAGAUUGGGGGGGUGAAUACCAUCGUUUGCACCAAUAUUUCAAAACAACUGGAAUUGAGCAUCGUCUUUCUUGUCCUCACACACAUCAGCAAAAUGGGUUGGUAGAAAGAAAGCACAGACACAUUGUGGAAACUGGCCUUACUUUACUUGCCCAAGCUAACAUGCCUUUGUCCUAUUAGGAUGAAGCCUUCAAUACAGCUUGUUACCUUAUAAAUAGACUACCAUCUCGAAUCAUACAAGCAAGACACACCACUUCAUAAAUUAUUUGCAAAAAAUCCAGAUUACACCAUGCUUAAGGUGUUUGGCUGUGCUUGCUGGCCCAAUUUAAGGCCUUACAACACCAAGAAACUGAGUUUUCGAACCACUAAGUGUGUCUUCUUAGGCUAUAGUUCUUCUCAUAAGGGAUACAAGUGCUUAGAUAGAAGUACAAAACGAAUUUACAUCUCUAGAGAUGUAAUCUUUGAUGAAAAUGUGUUUCCUUUUGAAGAAUUAAAUUCUAAGUCAUCAAUCCAAACCAAAAAUUCACACCAGCCUGCUCUACUUCCAACCUUCGUUAAACCCGUUCCAUACACUGAAAAUGCUCUCACAAAUAUUGAACCAGUUGUUAAUGAUUCUCGUAUAAUUGAUGGUCAAUCUAAUGAUGUUGCUAAUAACAACUUGUCUGGUAUAAGCUUACAUCCUGCAGAUAAUACAAUAAGUCCAGAAAUUGUUGCAGAACAGGAAGCUGAGAACAGUCUGACCAAUUUCCAAGAACAGAUGUUCNNNNNNNNNNNNNNNNNNNNNNNNNNNNNNNNNNNNNNNNNNNNNNNNNNNNNNNNNNNNNNNNNNNNNNNNNNNNNNNNNNNNNNNNNNNNNNNNNNNNGAACAAGAUUGAAAAAUAACAUUGUCCAAGCAAAACAGUUCACUGAUGGUACUGUCAGAUAUUCAGAGACCUCAAGAAAGUUUACCGGUGCUGUCACUGUCAAAAAUCCGACCACAAUAAAUGUACUAAAAAAUGCUACUGAGACUGAUACAGUUACUGAACCUCAAAACCUGCAGGAAGCUCUACAAAGUCCAGGUUGGCAGGAAGCAAUGAAUAAUGAGCUCUCAGCAUUACAACACAAUGAGACUUGGGAUUUCGUUCCACCAAAACCUGGCAUAAAUCUCAUUGAUAGUCGAUGGGUGUAUAAAGUGAAAAGGAAAGCGGAUGAAUCAGUGGAGAGAUUGAAAGCAAGGUUGGUUGCUAAAGGGUUCAAGCAAAGAUUUGGCAUUGAUUACAUUGAUACCUUUAGCCCCGUGGUCAAGCCAUCAACAAUCAAAGUUAUUCUUUCACUAGCAGUAACCAAAGGCUGGAAUAUGAGACAAGUUGAUAUCCAAAAUGCAUUCUUGCAUGGAAUUUUGGAAGAGGAAGUGUACAUGCGACAACCAUCGGGAUUUCAAGACCCAUAUAAACCAAAGGAAUACAUAUGCAAACUCAAGAAAGCGCUUUAUGGCCUGAAACAGGCUCCAAAGGCUUGGCACUCAAGACUGACUGGAAAACUUAUGGAAUUAGGCUUUAGAGCUUCUGUAGCUGAUUCAUCUUUGUUUAUCCUCAAAAACAAAGAGGUAACCAUCUAUAUGCUCAUAUACGUUGAUGAUAUAAUUAUCGUGAGCUCCUCUGAUCAAGCCACCGAAAGGUUGAUUCAGAAGUUGAAAAUAGAUUUUGCUAUAAAAGACUUAGGUGGUCUUGAGUAUUUUCUGGGUAUUGAAGUCAAGAAGGCAAGAGAUGGCAUCACANNNNNNNNNNNNNNNNNNNNNNNNNNNNNNNNNNNNNNNNNNNNNNNNNNNNNNNNNNNNNNNNNNNNNNNNNNNNNNNNNNNNNNNNNNNNNNNNNNNNAAAUUAUUCAAAGAGCAGGGAACACUCUUGUCAAUUGAAGAACAAUUUAAAUACAGAAGUACUGUGGGAGCAUUGCAAUACUUGACAAUGACCAGGCCUGAUUUGGCAUUUGCUGUCAACAAGGUUUGCCAAUACCUUCAUACGCCUACUGAUGCUCAUUGGAGUGUUGUAAAGAGAAUCCUUCGUUAUGUCAAGGGCACAUUAGAUUUGGGAAUCAGAAUUCAGAAGUCUCCAACAAUGCUGCUGUCCGGAUUUUCUGAUGCUGAUUGGGCUGGUUGUCCUGAUGAUCGACGUUCAACUAGCGGCUUUGCUGUAUUUCUUGGAGCAAAUCUAAUUUCUUGGAGCUCUAGAAAACAAACCACAGUGUCCAGAUCGAGCACCGAAGCAGAAUACAAGGCCAUUGCGAAUCUGACAGCAGAAAUGAUUUGGAUAAAAUCAUUAUUGAAAGAGCUUGGUGUGUAUCAAUCAAAAGCUCCUCGACUCUGGUGUGACAAUCUAGGAGCUACAUACUUAACUUCAAAUCCAGUGUUUCAUGCAAGAACAAAACAUAUUGAAGUUGACUUCCAUUUUGUUCGAGAACAAGUGGCACGCAAAGCAAUGGAAGUUCAGUUUAUUUCAUCAAGUGAUCAAGUGGCUGAUAUCCUAACAAAACCACUGUCUAGAACUCUCUUUAUUACACAUUGUAACAAUCUCAACAUGUAUAAAACCUGUUGGGAUUGAAGGGGACUGUUAGAAUUAGUCAGUUAGAAGUGGAACACGUUUGUAGAAGUGGAACACGUUAGUUGGUUAGUUGCCUUAAGAAGCGGAUCAUGGAUCCAACCGUGUAUGCAAUCAGUUACCUUUCUUUAAUUAUAAAUACAAUACGUCCUCCACAUAGAGAGGUACAGUUAGCAAACUUUAUUAGAGCUGAAUCGGUAACAUCAUCAAGAAUGAGGAGAACCUUUGUCCGUUUGAGCCUUUCAUUGUAAUAUGGUGAAGAAGAGGAUUUCUCUUCCUUUAGAAGCUCAGACUGAUAUUUUGUUCUGAUACUGUCUAUUCCAUCUCUUUGUAUUUUUUCUUGAACGUCUAAAACAAGGCUGCUGGAAUCAAACUGCAAUGCCAAUUUGUGAUAUAUUUGAUUACAAAUUGUAGUUUUUCCUAUUCCUCCCAUGCCACAAAUUCCUAUGAUCCGAACAUCCGGUGACUCAAGAUGCAACAAGGACUGAAUUCCUUCAAUAUGUUUUUCAAUGCCGAUGAUUCCUUGAUCAUAACUGAUGGAAUAACGAUUCAAUUUUUUCAACAAGUGUGUGUUCUGUGCUGGCAGAUGAUUUAGAAAAUAAUGUAUAAGUAUUCAAGCACAAAAGCUAAACUAAAGAAAAAUUCUACAGCAUCCGUUUGUGACUUCUGAUACUAGGGAGAAGACUUGUAGGUACAAAGUUAAGCUAUAACAUGUAAUAUGGUUCAGAUCUAAGACCGACUAAUAGAAAUGAAAAAAGAAGCACUUGAUUUAGGGUGAGAUGAACACAAUUUUAGUAAAUGAAAAGAGAUCCUGAUUAUCUGGAAAGUGCGUGACCUGGUGACUUUUGAAUCCCAGCCUGCAAGUUCAGCAGCUUCGGUGAGAGCAUCCUUCCAUCCUUGCACUUUAUCGUGCUUAAAGUGCUGCUCAUGCUUUUCGAAUGCUUCUUUGUAUCUUUGUUCCUGCUUCCUAAUAGUUGAUGGAUCCACCUUGUAGAAAACAGGUAUGACAUCCCUUCCAAAUCUCUUCUUGCAUUCAAGUAUCUUAGUGAGUUCAUUCAAGCACCAAGUGGAAGAUGCAUAGUCUUGGGAGAAAACGAUGACAUAAAUCUUUGAAAAAUAAGUAUGAAAUCUAGAUAUAUAUCAUUAUCACGUGUGGAAGCUACGUCGUCUUGUAUUGGAUUUUCUAAUCUGCCUUUUAUCUUGUCUCAUUCUUCUUUAUCUUUUUUCUCUCAUCUCUCUUGCUUACGAUUUCUUUGCCUUUAUUCAGAAAUUUUAGUUAUAAUAAACCUUCAAUAAUAUUUGUACUUUCUAGCAUAUAGAAUACUUAAUGGAUCCUUUUCUGAUUUUUCUUUUCUAAAGUUCAAUUGAUUUUUUAAAUGUUUUUCUAUUUAAUUUUCCUUUCUUAAUGACACAUAAAAUGGUUCAGUGCACAAUUAAUUAUUCUCACCUUAGAUUUCAUUCAUCUCAUUCCAUUUCCACACUCAAAUCAUUCUCACAUUUGUUUCUACCUGUUUCACAAAGUUUUAGUUAAAAUAUGGAAAUUAAUGUUCAAGAACCCUACUUAAUAUUAAUAUUCAACAAUUUAAAAUAUUAAAAUGCAAAUUAAUCUUUCUUAAUAAUGUCAUUUUUAUGUAAAAAAUAAAAUGUAGUUUAGUCAUUUAUACUUAGAUGGAUAAAGAUGAUUUUAGAAAAAAAAAAUGCAUUUUAUUUCAAAGGUUAACUAAACUCUGAACUCAUUUAUGAAUUAAUAAUAAUAAAUAAUAUGUAAUUGUAUUCCAAUACCAUAUAAAUUUUUUUUAUUGGGUGCGUUUCUGAUGAAUUAAUGCACUCUAGGGACAAUGAUCGCUCUAGUAUUUGAUUUUUUAUUUAUUUUAAUGUUAAAAUUAUAGCUAUGUAGUACAGAUAUUACUGACACAGACAGACACGAACACGGACACAGAAAUACAUAAAAUCUCUAAAAUGUAGAAUACGGAGACAUUAAUCUAUAUAUUAUAUAAUUAUGAAUCAUAUAAAUUAACAAUAAAGAUUUAUGUGCACAAGUAUUUUUGAGAUUAUUUUUUAGAACAGAAAUAUGUUUUUCAUGACUAGUUCACAAAUAUUUGUUUCUUAUUCUUAUAAUCAUAAUAACAAUUUAUACCAUAAAGUUUCAAUUUUAGAAAAUUAAUGUAUUUUUUCUUUUUAAAAUUUCGUUAGAACUGUACUAGAAUUGUAAAAAAUCUAACAAAUACAUUUUGAAUUGGACAUUCCACGAAUACGUGUCCUACCAGUAUUUUGAACAACAUUCUUUCUUUUGGAACAAAGAGGGCAUAUGCCGCAGUCUUUUACUGUGAUAACUCAUUUCAACUCUCACACAACUGAUUCGUAAUCUGUGGGAUGCAUUAAAGCCUUUUGCAGUUAAAUCAAUAGUAUAUGAUGAUGUGAAUGUUAUUUAUAUACUAAAUAUAAUCACAUAGUAACUUCAAAUUUGAUAAGGUACAACAUGUUACCAUAUCUCUUUUAAUUUAUUUUAUUUCAUUAUAUAUUUAGGUGUAUUUAAUUUCUUUUAUUUCAUUGUGUAUUUAGGUGUAUUACGUAAAAUAUAUAAUUAAAAAGAAAGAAGAAUAAUGUUAUUUUGAAAUUUAAAGAAGACAUAUAGAAAUAAACAAGCUUUUGCUAAGAUUCCACCAUUGAAAAGGAACAUAGAACAAUCUUGACAAUUAUACUUUGACUUAUUUUAAUUUCUUAUAUUUAUGAGUAUUAUUUUUUCUUAAACAUAGAUAUUGGAUAAAAAAUACAAAUAACAUUUCUUUAUUUCAAAUUUAAAAAUAUUUUAAAUUAAAAUAAAAUAAUUUUUUAAUUAAGAUAUAACAAAAUAUUCUUUAACAAAUUAUUUUAAUUUCAAAAUAAUUAAUUCAGAGGACGAUUGAAAAAAUAUUAAAUAUUAUAAUAAAGCUUCAAUAAUAUUUGUACUUUCUAGCAUAUAGAAUACUUAAUGGAUCCUUUUAUGAAUUUUCUUUUCUAAAGUACAAUUGAUUUUUUAAAUGUUUUUCUAUUUAAUUUUUCUUUCUUGACACAAAAUGUUCAGUGCACAAUUAAUUACUCACCUUAGAUUUCGUUCUUCUCUUUCCAUUUCCACACUCAAAUCAUUUUCACCUUUUUUUUCUUCUUAUUUCACAAAACUUUAAUUAAAAUAUGGAAAAUAAAGUUCAAGAACCCUGCUUAUAUAUUAAUAUUCAAAAAUUUAAAAUAUUAAUAUGCAAAUGAAUAUUUCUUAAUAAUUUUAUUUUGAUGUAAAAAAUAAAAUGUAGUUUAGUCAUUCAUACUUAGAUGGAUAAAGAUGGUUUUAGAAAAAAAAAAAGAAUAUGCAUUUUAUUUGAAAGGUUAUCUAAACUCUGAACUCACUGAUGAAUUAAUAAUAAUAAAUAAUAUGGAAUUCUAUUCCAAUACCAUAUAGGAUGGAGAAAAGUAAGAAGAGGAUUUACACAUUACCCUUUCAAAUGGAGCUCCUCAGGAUUUCAUAAUGCCUUCACUGCAAAUGCAACCCAAAUAUGCUAAAAAAGUUAAUGAAACUAUAUAUGAAGAGUUAAUGAAACUAAAUGGCGUGUGCUGAAAUUUUUGAUCCGAUAACCAUGCCCACAUUCAAAAAGUGAAAGGUUACUUUGCUUUAUAUUCCUUUGGGUGGUGCUACUUUUCAACUUGACAACAAAUUCCCAUUAUUGUGUGGUUAUCAAUUACCAUUUAACUUAUUCUCAUACCACAUUCACUAUAUAAUAGUCCAUCAUAAACCCCAAAAUUUGCACAUUUUCUAUUUGCAAGACAUCCAACAGACAAAGAAAACAUGUGAAACUGUGUAAUAAUGUGAGAACGUAAGAACUUACUUCAUCAUGAAAUCAAGCCAUGCCUGAGGGUUUUUUCUGAGAGCAUUCACCACAGGUGCAUAUUCAUGUGGCUGUAUCCCAUACUCAGCUAGUAUUUCUGCUACCUCUGCCGCUUCUUUUUUUGUCAAAAAACACAUAUUCAUUAUUAAUGUGCAAUCAAAUGGUAACGAAACUAUGUAGUACAAACACACACUGAUACGACACUAGGACGAACAUACGUAUAAUGUUACUCCUUCUAUGGAAAUGAAGGAUAUUCAGCAAUAACUUUUAAAACUCAUUACAUAGAAAUUUGCAUCAAGUUAUCAAAGUCUAUAGGAAUGAAUUUUCAAUUCAUGGAAACACAGAUAACAAAAAGUAAUAGAAAAAUAGAAAAAAAGUUGUCAAAUGAUUCUAUAAAAAAUUAACCUAUCAUGAAAAUCAAGAUGAUAGAAAAUAAAAUAAUGUGGCAUGAACAUCAAAAUCGUAUAAAAGCAUAAUAGAAGAACAGUGGAUACCAGUUUCUGGCACGGCGAUGAUUUCUUCUUGCUCUCUUUUCAAUUCCCUCGAGUAAUUAUCGGCUUCACUUUUUGCUGCCAAAUAACUGCACAAUGAAAAUUAACAUGAAAUAAUAACGGAAUUUAAAUUGAGUUUUGUGAGUGUGAAGAGUGUGGUUGAACGUACCCGCCGAGGCCCAUGGAGAUGGCGCCGGCGGCGACUUCCGCUAUGCCAGCGGUGAGAACGAUGGAGGAGGUGACAUUGGCGCCGGAGAGGCCGGCGGCGAGGGCGAAGGGGACGGUGAGGCCGUCGGAAACGCCGAUGAUGAUGUCGCGGACUAUUUCGCCGGCGGUGAAGUGCUUCUCGGUGUGGUGGUUGAGAAGGUUCGUUCUCUCAGAAUCCACGCUUAUGCCGUGUUCGGUGGCGGCCAUUGGUGCAAGCUUGUGAAUGUGUUUGAGUUCGCCAACGUGCUCUGGGAAUCCAAACAAAGCCUUGCUGCUUUGCACAUAAAUUGAGCCUCUUUUGUGCUCAACUUACUCCUAAAUAGAACAAAAAUAUCUAACCGUUGAUGAUAUCCACGUGGAAAAUUAUCAAUGGAUAUCAAUAUCACAUUAUUUCUACACUAAUAUUUUAAUUAUUUUUAAAUAUUAUAACUAAAUCAAUCAAUAUAAUACCAAAUCUUCUUAAUUCUUUGGAUUAUAUAUAUUUUAUUUUAUUUUAUUUAUAAAGGAAGUUGUGAUAAAUGUUGUGUUUUGUGUGCACAUUAAUAAAAAUCAAAUAACCAAAAAAUAAUAAUCUUGUGAAAGAAAAAAUGGUAGAAUUUAUACUAUUCUACAAAAUUUUAAAAGUGGCUAAUGUGUUUUACUCAACUAUGUAAAUAAUUUUGGACUCUCUUGUUAAGGAAAUAAUGAAAUACAUUAAAUUUUGUUUUAUACUCUUACUUUAAGUUUUUUUGUGUUUCUCCUGACUUAAUUAAAUAUCAGAGAGUCGUCUUUUGCAGGUAGAUUUCAUUCUAUCAUAAUAUACCAACUGAAAACUUGUUUUCUGAAAAACACACGGCUCUCACCGAAUUGCACUUUCCAAUUUUUUUUAAUAGAAAUAAUAAUAAUUAAGUAUUUGUGUUCUUAUAUUUAAUUUUUAAUAAAAAAAUUAUUCUUAUGUACUUCUAAAUUGAUAUAUUUUACCAAUGUCUAUUAACAAUGGGAAGAAGUUUAUACCUAACAAAACUAUUUAACAUGAUUUGUUUGUAAAUUAUAGAAGUAUGUGUAGAAAGAUAUAAAAUUAAUGUUUUAAGAGAAAUUUAAGCAACUUUCAUAAUAUAUUGUAGAUUAUUAGUUGAAUUUAUGGAAAUUAAAAAUAAAUUGUAGGUCACCACACUUCCACUUUUUUUUAAUGAUAUCAAAUCACAACUUUACAAUUUUCACUAAUUUUUAACCAAUAACAAAAGAACAUCUUAGAAGAAGUGUGUUUAAGAAUUUGAUGUUAACUCUCAUUGUUUUUUAAACUUAAAUCCAGCUUUAUUCUUCAACUUUUAAUUUUUAUACAUAUUUAAUUGUAUAUAUAGUUUUUAACUCUCUAAAAUCAAACAAUUUUAAUUCAUUAAAUAGGCAAUGUCAUGAGUGUUAAACUUUUAACAUUUUUCUAGUAAUUAAAUUACUUAUGAAGAUUCAACUAAUUCAAAAUUUAAUAUUUUUACAAUUUUUAUUAUAAUAUUCUUAAAAUAUAUUUUAAUAUUUUGUUUUUCAUGUUUGAAAUAUAAAUGUUUUAAAAAAUCAUUUUAAAUUAUUUUGUUUCUCAUCUUAUGUAAUAAAUUACUAUAAUAAUUACUAAAACAUUUAAUACCUAUACAUUUUUAAUGAGCAAAAACUAAUAAUGAAUUAUAACAAAUAAAAAACGUUUCUGGGCAACAAAAUAGUAAUUAAUAUGAAUUAUAACAAAUAAUGAACGUUUUGUGGUAAUUUGUUUCACUUUCAAAUAAGUUAGUACUUCGCCUGUUAUUUCAUAACGGUAGUUUUUUUAAAUAUAUUAAGAAAAAUGUUUAUUUUUUUAUUUUUAAUGCACUUUUAAGUAACUUGCCUAUUAUAUUAUAUUAUAUGGGUAUUAUAUAUAUAUAGGUAAGCACCAAAAAAUAAAUUUAAGGUAAAAGUGAUAUAAUUAAAAUAAAAUAAAUUAUUAUUAAAUAGAAAAUAUAUAUAAUUAAAAAAAUCAGUUAUUUAAGUUUUAUUUUAAAAUAAUUUUUGUAAAAAAAUUUUCUUUUUUUCCUUGUUCACGAUUUUAAAUUUUAUAUUCACUUGGUAGACAUGUUUUGCAUGUGGUGUUUGGGACUUAAAAGAAUAAUAUAUGUUAGUUCAAGAUCCUAAUGAUGUGUUUUUAAGAAGUUGGACUAUCUUUGUUUUUUUAAGAAGUUGAAGUCUUUUUAUGAAUACUUAUCUUUUUAAACAGGUAAGAUAAACUAGUUUUAUCUGUAAAACUUAAGUUAGAAUAUCUGAAUAUGAAAUGUGAUUCUUCAUAUGAUUAUGAUUGAAUGAUUCAAAAUUCAAGUAUAAAGUUUUAAGAAUCAUUAACUUAUGUUUUUUUUUUUGUGCUAUUUUUUUGAUUUUUUGCAAUGAUUGUGUGUUGCAUGUGAGCAAAUGAUGUUACAAGUUGUAAACCUAAAAAAAAAUCAUGAAAUUUUGUCUUUUUUAUUCUUUUGAUAUUUUAUCUUAAUGAUAUAUAUAUAUAUAUAUAUAUAUAUAUAUAUAUUUAAAAAUCUCUAUAUGAAAGGAUAGUAUUUUAUGAUAUAAUAAUAUGAUAAUGUAAAUGUUAUUUAUAUAAUAAAUAUCAUGAGAUAAUUUAAAUUUUGAUAAGAUAAAUGAAGAUGUUACAAUAUCUCUUUUAAUUUUUUUUUAUUUCAUUAUAUAUUUAGGCGUAUUUAAUUUCUUUUAUUUCAUUGUAUAUUUAGGUGUAUUACGUAAAAUAUAUAAUUAAAAAGAAAAAAUAAUGUUAUUUUGAAAUUUAAAGAAUGACGUAUAGAAAGAAACAAGCUUUUGUUAAAAUUCCACCAUUGAAAAGGAACAUAGAACAACACUCUUGACAAUUAUACUUUGACUUAGAUACUUAUUUUAAUUUAUUAUAUUCAUGAGUAUUAUUUUUUCUUAAACAUAGAUAUUGGAUAAAAAUUAAUAAAAUUUAUUUAUUUCAAAUUUAAAAAUAUUUAAAAUUAAAAUAAAAUAAUAUUUUUAAUUAAGAUAUAAAAAAAUAUUCUUUACAAAUUUUUUUAAUUUCAAAAUAAUUAAUUCAGAGGAUGAUUGAAAAAAUAUUAACAAUCUAUUUAUGCGUUUAUAGUAAACCUUCAAUAAUAUUUGUACUUUCUAGCAUAUAGAAUACUUACUGGAUUUCUUACUCUUUCUUUCUACACCUCUAUCCAUACUAAAUAUAAAAAUACCAUUUUAUUCUUUUUUCUCCACCCCUUGAAUUUGAAAUAAUAAGCCCAUGGAUUAUGUAAUCUGGAUAUAUUCCGGAUUAGUCAAUUUCAUAUUUAGAAAAGACUUUCGGAUUAUGUAAUCCAGAAGCUAAUAAAACAUCUGAAAAAAAGGCUUCCGGAUUACAUAAUCCGGAAGCUAAUCUUAUGUAUAGAAAAGACUUUCGCAUUAUGUAUUCCGGAAGCUAAUCACAAAAGACUUCUGGAUUACAUAAUCCAAACGCUAAUUCUAAAUCUAGAAAAAAGACUUCCGGAUUAUGUAAUCCGGAAUAUUAAAAAAGAUAUUUUUGAAAUACGAAAAAUUUAUGGGGGUGACACAAGAAGGUAUGGAGGUGCAGGAAGAAACAGCCUGGAUUCCUUUUGUGAUUUUUCUUUUCUAAAGUACAAUUGAUAUUUUAAAUGUUUUUCUAUUUAAUUUGUCUUUCUUAAAUGACACAUAAAAUGUUCAGUGCACAAUUAACUACUCACCUUAGAUUUCGUUCUUCUUUUUCCACUUCCACACUAAAAUCAUUUUCACAUUUUUUUUACCUAUUUCACAAAAAUUUAAUUCAAAAAUGGAAAUUAAAGUUCAAGAACCCUACUUAUAUAUUAACAUUCAACAAUUUAAAAUAUUAAUAUUCAAAUUAAUCUUUCUUAAUGUUAUGAAAAAUUUAAAAUGUAGUUUAGUCAUUCUUGGAUGGAAAAAGAUGGUUUUAGAAGAAAAAAAUGCAUUUUAUUUGAAAGGUUAUCUAAACUCUAAACUCAUUGAUGAAUUAAUAAUAAUAAAUAAUAUGGAAUUCUAUUGGAAUAGCAUAUAAAUGUUUUGUUGUUGAAACUGAUAAUUGGGUGCGUUUCUGAUGAAAUUAAUUAAUGCAGUCUAGGGACAAUUAUCGCUCUAGUAUUUCAUUUUUUUAUUUUUAACGUUGAAAUUAUAAUUAUACAAUUCCGUUUUUAGAUAUUAAAAUGAUAGUUUUCAUUUACAGAUUAAAAUAUUACUUGUUUCUUUUAAGAUUUUUUUGGUAUUAUAAUUAUUUGUUAGCUGAAUUGUUUUGCGUUAACAUGUUGUUUUCUUGGGCUAUGAUGUAAGCAAUAUAAAUGUUAUUUUUAAUGUAAGCAAUAAAAAUUAUGAGUAUUCAAAGUCGUGUAAUUACUUAAAAGAAUCAAGUGAUUUUUAAAAGAACUCACACGAUCAGUUUUAAUUUUGACGAUAAAAUAUAUUAGUUAUAUAUAUUUAUUCAAAAUUUCAAUUAUACUAUGCAUUUAUGGUUUUAUGCUUUUAGAGGAAUCAGUAACUUAGAAAAGCUCCCAAAAACUAAUGAAAUCCCAUGAAUGAAGAAGGAGAACAAAUGGAAGUGAAAAAUCAGUAAGAUGAUAAUUAAUAAACACCCUCUCUUAAUAACAUAACAUAGGAGUCUUUAAACUUAUAUUCUUCAAACAAUUAUAAGCUGUCUUCAACUUUACUGUUAAACUACAAUUAUAAAGAAUUAACAAUCUCACACACCAACAACAUUUAUAAGUCAUCACUCACAUGCAACAAGGUGUGCCUCAAUGUGAAAAAACCAAGAUCAAUAAGAAAUGAGGUUCCACUUAACCAAGCUGAGAAUUGUCUGGUUUUCCAGCUCCAUGCACAAACCUAAUACAAUGAUAUGAUAUUCAAUACCAAGAGGUACCUUGUCGUAAAACUGAGAAUAUGAGGUUGCAUAGGAUGGAGAAAAGUAAGAAGAGGAUUUACCAAUUACCCUUUCAAAUGCAGCUCCUCAAGAUUUCAUAAUCCCUUCACUGCAAAUGCAACCCAAAUAUGUUAAAGAAGUUAAUGAAACCGAAAUAUGAAGAGUUUCAAAAUAAAAAUUUAACAUGUUGAAACUUGUAAUUUAGAAGUAUUGACUAUAAGGCAGUUUAGAUCCUGACCAAUGAAAGACUAAUAAGCAGAAGAGGAAGAGACUAGUUGACUGGCUAGCUUUCGGCCUUCCACUUCCUAUCUUCCCUUGUUUCUCUUGAAGACUGUGCAACAUUGCUUCCACUGGAUUCUUCAAUCUCAACAGCACCACCAUAUUCAUCAUCUUUCUUUUUCGUAUAAAGAGGGCAUAUGCCGCAUUCUUUUAUUGUGAUAACUGAUUUCAACUCUCUCACAACUGAUUCGUAAUCUGGCCACCCAAAGUCAUAAUCACACGGACUGAUCUCAAAAGUGAAGCUGCGAGCAUCACAUAGCCUGAGGCUCAUGCCGCUCGCCCUUAGGGACUCCAAGUUAAAUUUCCACACGAAUGUGUGAUCUUUAUCAACACAUCUCUCUUCACCAUUCCAUUUGAAAUAGCUGUUUAACACAUCAUUAUUUGGAAUGAUCUGUGUGCCAUCAUCAUCAGAUUCAAAUGUUAGGCUGUAACUAAAAGAACCAUAUCUACCAUUCAUAGCAUACGUAUCUAACACUCCAAAAACCACACUCAAAGCGAAACCAGUGAGCCUAUCAUCGCUGCAGAAACUUAAAUCUUCAUUUAUAGUCACUGAAUGUCCCUUCCCACGAAAAUUGAACCAACCAGGAACUGCACUCCCUGGAAAACAGAAGAACACACACCUAUAUGCAUCGUCGGUCAUCCUAAGCCUUGCAUCCUCCUCAAUGUUAGCACGACCACCUGAAUCCAGUUGUUGAGCAUUGGUGAAAUGAAAUUUAAAUACACCCUCUUCGGAAUUUGAGAGGUUUCGAACAAGAGAAUUUGGCAUCACUCUUCUAAUGGAUGGGCAAUCCAAUGCCACGAGUUGUUUCAGAAAUGGUGGAAUCUGUGGGAUGCAUUCAAGCUUUUUGCAGUCGCUUAAAUCAAGCGAUUUCAAACUUGAAAGAUGAGCAAUGCUCCCAGGAAGGUUCACGAUUCCGCUAUUACGCAGUGAAAGUUUCAUUAAUGACGUCAAACGACCAAUGUGUCUAGGGAUUUCUGUUAAUUUGGGGCACCCCGAACAAUCAAGUUUAGAGAGAAGCUUCAGAUUAACAAUGCAGUUUGGAAGUGAGUCGAGAUCAGUGCAUUUGUGGAGCUCCAGGGAUCGAAGAUUAACCAAAUUGCCAAAUGAGGAAGGCAAUUCUUUAACAGCCGUAGAUGUUAAGUUAAUGUGAGCAAAAGUAUGAGCCGGCUCCGUGAUCUCUGGGAAGGACCUCAGCCUUGAGCAACCACCUAAAUCAAACUUCCUCAAUUUCAAAUUGAAAAUGGUGCUUGGAAAAGUUUGAAGUGAAUUACAGUGGGUAAGGUCUAACUUGCAUAGUCUGGUGAGGGUUCCAAUGGAAGAUGGAAUAAUCUGAAGAUUGAAGCAACUGCGCAAACUCAGUUGUUGAAGCCCUACCAAACGGCACAAGGAUGAAGGUAGUGCCUGUAUGGCUGUGUCGUCUAAGAUGAGCACCGCUAGAUCUUCCAACGUGUCCUGAAUCUGGGGUAAAUAUUCCAAUUUUGAGCAACCACGGAGAGAAAGUUGCUUUAGGAAUUUCAUAUCAGAAAGGUCAAACGGAAAGAUUGUAAGGGAAGAACAGUCAGAGAGAUCUAAGUAACAGAGGUUCUUGAGACUUUGAAAGUUCAAGGGCACACCUCCUCUGAGAUUUGCCGACACUUCAAAUUGUAAGUAUAGAGUAUUAUUAGCCACUUCUUCAUUAUAUCUGUCAAAAGUAAUUGAGAAAAUUUCACUGGAACUUCGGAAAAUAUGAACACCGGAUGCACAUUGCGCUUCAACUAUCAUAUUUCCACGUUUAUGCCGCAGUUUCAUAUGAGGGAAUCUGGGUUCACUGGUUGAAAACAUAUUAAGCUUCCGACAACAGGAAAGAAUAAUCAAUCCUGGUAAUGUGGAUAAAAUGUUGUUGGGAAUAUUUACACUAUUCAGAUCAUAACAAUGAUCUAAACAUAAACAACUGAGCUUGCUGAGGAAUAUCGAAGAGUGAACUUCAAUCAACUUUGAACAAUAACUCAGCUUUAUUUCUUCAAUAUUUGGUGACGUAGAAAGGUCUGGUAUUCUAGUAAGGUUCGAAGAAUGACUCAGGUUGAGCCUUUUCAACUUGGGUAAAUUCUGCCACAAAAUGUAAAUGAAUCAGGUAACACAAAAACUAAAUUAAAGUUUUAGGCAAUUUUAUCUAUUUUUCUUCGGUAAACAAUAGAUGACAAUGUCGAAAUACUUUAUAUUAUGCAUGUAUCAACUGACAAAAUAAAACGAUGUUUUCUGAGAGUUAAAAUUAAACCUUAUUUAAAAUAAGUCCAUCUUUCCAUAUUUUAUAAUUUGUUGUAUAUUAUAUUGAAGUUUAUGUUAUAAUAAAAAAAAUGACUUAAUUAAUCAAAUAAUGUGGAGAAGGCACAAAGGAAUUGCAAAUGAAAACUUGUAUAUGUAUAAUACAGAAAACAUGCUUGUAUAAUUUAUUUUUAUCUUUGAAAGUUUAGAACACAAAGGAACAUAGAUAGCUUGAAAAACCUGAUCUCCUUCCCAGAGUUGUUCAAGAUGGUUGCGUGGCAUUUCGAGAGUCACUAGAUUUUGUGGGCAAAACUUUGGAGGCCAAAAUCUUUGAGGGAAAUCGUCCCAAUAUAGAAUCUUUAGAGUGUCCGGCAGACCUACAAGAGAUGAUUCAGGAGACACUUUUGAUUCCAAUCCCAACGUGUAGAGCCUAAGCAUCCUAAGAUUGUCCAUCUUUUCGAAACUUUGUGCAUGUACUACAACUUCUUUUACUUUCCACGUACCCCAGGUAUUUAGUAAUAUACACUGUAUUGCAUCUGACCCCUGAAAGUAAAUCAAUGUAAUUAGAAAAAAGCAUGAAAUGUUGCAUUUCAGAAUGCUUAAUGACAGAUCAGUAGUUUGCUAUUUUUCACAAAGUAACAACAGAAUAUACCUUGUUCUUUCUUAAGACCUCACAAAUUUCCUCAUCAUUAAACAAUCGGCUGCGUUUUCCAGGAUGCUGAGGACACUCUUUAUGAACAAUUUCUUUACCCAUUUCUUGUAUUAGAUCGUGCAUCACAAUUCUACCAUCAAUGACAGAUAUUAGGCCCCUAUCUUUGAGAAUAUCCAUUCCAAUCUUAGAAGAGAAACCAAAGUCAUCAAGUCUUUCUGCUACCUCAAUCUCCUGGCGUCCUCUAUAAAAGCAAGCUAUGUCAAGAAAUAUAUUCUUCUCCUCCUCCUCCAGCCAAUCAUAACUUAAUUUUAAUACAUUGAAAAUACCAAGAUGUUGGCCCUUUUUCAACUUUUGCAACUGACUCUCCCAUGCUUCUUUUGUUCUGCCAUAAAGCAAUGAUCCCAAAAUCUGGAGAGCUAACGGAAUCCCUUUUGCAUAUGUCAACACCUUUUUUGACAGUUCCCUGUAACCAAUUUCUUCUGAAGAUUUUUGUUUAAAAGCAUGUAAACUAAAAAGCUUCUGAGAAUCAUUAAAAUUCAACUCCUUAACUUCGUAGAUAUCAUCAGCUCCAGCAUUCCUAAGCACUUGUCUGUCUCUACUGGUGAUAAUGAUUCUACUGCCCUGCCCAAAACUAUCACUCCCUCUUAUUAAUUUUUGAAGUUGAGCUGAAUCGGUAACAUCAUCAAGAAUGAGGAGAACCUUUGUCCGUUUGAGCUCAGACAGAUAUUUUGUUCUGAUACUGUCUAUUCCAUCUCUUUGUAUUUUUUCUUGAACGUCUAAAACAAGGCUCCUGGAAUCAAACUGCAAUUCCAAUUUGUGAUAUAUUUGAUCACAAAUUGUACUUUUUCCUAUUCCUCCCAUGCCACAAAUGCCUAUGAUCCGAACAUCCGGUAAGUCAAGAUGCAACAAGGACUGAAUUCCUUCAAUAUUUUUUUCAAUGCCGAUGAUUCCUUGAUCAUAACUGGUGGAAUAACGAUUCAAUUUUCUCAAAAUAUCUCCCACAAUUCCUUCAACAAGUGUGUGUUCUGACCUGGCAGAUGAUUUAGAAAAUAAAGUAUAAGUAUUCAAACACAAAAGCUAAAGUAAACUAAAGAAAAAUUCUACAGUAACCGUUUGUGACUUCUGAUAAUAGGGAGCAGAUUUGUAGGUACAAAGUUAAGCUAUAAGAUGUGAUAUGGUUCAGAUCCAUGACCGACUAAGAGAAAUGAAAAAAGAAACACUUGAUUUAUGGUGAGAUGAACACAAUUUUAGUAAAUGAAAAGAGAUCCUGAUUAUCUAAUAAAUAUAAUGACCUGGUGACUUUUGAAUCCCAGCCUGAAAGUCCAGCAGCUUCGGUGAGAGCAUCCUUCCAUCCUUGCACUUUGUCCAUGUCGUGCUUAAACUGCUGCUCAUGCUUUUCGAAUGCUUCUUUGUAUCUUUGUUCCUGCUUCCUAAUAGUUGAUGGAUCCACCUUGUAGAAAACAGGUAUGACAUCCCUUCCAUAUCUCUUCUUGCAAUCAAGUAUCUUAGUGAGUUCAUUCAAGCACCAAGUGGAAGAUGCAUAGUUUUGGGAGAAAACGACGAUAUAAAUCUUCGAUUCUUCUAUUGCAGAGAGCAGUGCAGAUGAAAUUUCUUCGCCCCGGGGUAGUGUCUCAUCAAUAUAUGCUUCUAUGUUCUUCCUUUGCAGUGCUGGAUGAAGGUGGCUAAUGAAGUUGUCACGUGUGUCUUCCCCUCUGAAGCUGAGAAACACAUCAUGCUUUGUUAGAGAAGCAGACAUGGCCAAUGAUGAAGAACUUGCUGACAUUGGAAUCAAUUUUCUCUCCUUUCUCUGCAACUCUCAGUGCCUUUGU
rnacentral:lncRNA from 1 species